UUUUUUUUUGUGAAAUUUGAGGAGAGAAUAGUCAAAACUUCUACGUCAGGAGACCUCACCAGAGCGACGAAGAGACUGAGGAGUAAAAAGAAUCCUACUCUCCGAUAUAUAUAAUCCUAAGACUCAAAACAUUUUUAUUCUAGACUCAACAACGCCAGCGAUUCGAUAAAGCAGGGGGCUCCUAAGUCGGGGAUGGCUCUGAUUACCAACUUGUAAUGCCCACGAUGCGGCUAUAUCUCCCACGUGUCGAGGCACGACUUAGAGGCAUAACCGCAUAGUGGUUUUGUCGCAAGAAGGGUCAUCUUCACACAAUCCCAUGUAAUGAACAAGAAUGGGAUAAAGAGUUGGCUUACAAUCGCCACUUCACACAAUACAUAAAUAAAUAUCAUACAUCAUCCAAAAUACAAGCAUAUAGACCGACUACGGUCAAAAUCCAGAUGAAAAUAAGACAACCCCAAAUGCUAGAUCCCCGAUCGUCCCAACUGGGCUCCACUACUGAUCAUCAGGAAAAGACACAUAGUAACGACCACGUUCCUCGUCGAACUCCCACUUGAGAUCGACGCCAUCAUCUGCACUGGCAUCGUCGGCACCUGCAACUGUUUUGGUAAAAUCUGUGAGUCACGGGGACUCAGCAAUCUCACACCUGCGAGAUCAAGACUAUUUAAGCUUACAGGAAAGGGAGGUGCAAUAAGGUGGAGCUGCAGCGGCAAAAGCAUAUAUGGUGGCUAACUUGCGCAAAUGAGAGCGAGAAGAGAAGCAACGGAACGGACGUCAUCUAGCAAUGACCAAGAAGAGGUCCUGAACACCUACUUACAUCAUUCAAAACACAGACUGUGUUCACUUCCCGGACUCCGCCGAGAAGAGACCAUCACGGCUACACACGCAGUUGAUGUAUUUUAAAUGGGUCAAGUGACAAGUUAUCUACAACCGGACAUUAACAAAUUCCCAUCUGCCUCAUAACCGCGGGCACGGCUUUCGAAAGAUAUUACCCUGCAGGGGUGUCCCAACUUAGCCCAUCAUAAGCUCUCACGGUCAACGAAGGAUAAACCUUCUCCCGGAAAGACCCGAUCAGUCUCGGAAUCCCGGUUUACAAGACAUCUCGACAAUGGUAAAACAAGACCAGCAAAGCCGCCCGAAUGUGCCGACAAAUCCCGAUAGGAGCUGCACAUAUCUCGUUCUCAGGGCACACCAGAUGAACACUACGUACAGCUAAAACCAAUCCUCGAGUUUCCCCAAGGUGGCGCUGCAAGUGGCUCUAGUUUGGACCAGCACUCAGAGGAACACUGGCCCGGGGGUUAAAAUAAAGAUGACCCUCGGGCUCGCGAAAACCCGGGGGAAAAGGCUUAGGCGGCAAAUGGUAAAACCAAAGUUGGGCCUUGCUGGAGGAGUUUUAUUCAAGGCGAACUGUCAAGGGGGUCCCAUAAAUCACCCGACCGUGUAAGGAACGCAAACUCAAGGAACAUAAUCCCGGUAUAACAGUAACUAGGGCGGCAAGAGUGGAACAAAACACCAGGCAUAAGGCCGAGCCUUCCACCCUUUACCAAAUAUAUAGAUGCAUUAAUUAAAUAAGAGAUAUUGUGAUAUCCCAACAUAUCCAUGUUCCGACAUGGAACAAACUUCAACUUCACCUGCAACUAGCAAUGCUAUAAGAGGGGCUGAGCAAAAGCGGUAACUUAGCCAAACAACGGUUUGCUAGGAAAGGAUGGUUAGGGCUGACAUGGCUAAAAUAGGAGACAUGAUAUAGCAAGUGAUAGGUAGCGGAGCAUGGCAAUAGAGCGAACAACUAGCAAAGCAAAGAUAGAAGUGAUUUCGAGGGGUGUUCAUCUUGCCUGCAGGGUUCUCAGAGUUGUCGAAAGCUUGAUCCUCGUAAGCGUACUCGACAGGUUCCUCGUUCACGAACUCGUCUUCCGGCUCUACCCAAGACAAGAACACAAACAAACGGAACCACAAUCAACCACGAGAAAUGCACAAGCAACAUGAUGCAAAACAUGUAAGAUAUGCAAGAUAUGAUAUGCGAUGCAUAUGCGUGCUCCGGAAGGAAAAUGAUGAGCAUGGCAGUAACUUGGCAAACCAAGCAUGCCACUGGAAAGAUGAGAUGAUUUCGGUCGAAAUCGAUAUAAAGAUCACCGGAAUCGGAUGCACGGUUUGCAAAUAGCAAGCUAAACAAGGAUGACACUAAUCUGCGAUAAACAACAAGAUAGCACUUAAAAUGCAACAAGCAACAAAGCUACAGCACCCCAACAUAGCAACAAAGCACAUGGCAGUAAUCUACAGGAGAUGCUUGACAAAAGAUGAACACUGAGCUACGGCUAAUUCACAACAUAUCAAGCUCAAACAAGCAUGGCAAAAGUGCAAAAGAUUACAGGUUCACAGACUUGGUGAAAAACUGAACAUGGCAGAAAACAGCAUCAGGUAGCAAUGUUCAGAGCUCGAAAUCGACAUGCUACAGGAACUUAACAUAGAAAAACAAGGCAUGGUAGUAUUCUACUAAAAGCACAUGACAAAAGUCCCUUACUGACCCUAAGCCAAAAAGGACCAGAAGAUACGGUGGCAAGCAUGUAAACAUAGCAAGUUUCGUUAUCAGGUUUCAGACUUAGCAGAAAACAGAGCAUGGCAGAAAUAAUAAUAUGUAGGCCUCUUUGUGAGCUCGAUGCACUCACUACAGAGCAAUGCAUGACAAACCAAGCACACCUACAGCAAGAUGGCAUGUUUAUGAAGCUAUCCAUGGCAAGAACACAAGCAUAGCAUGCAUGGAUGAACUACAAUAAGCUUGGCAAAAUUGCAUAUCAUGUUAAGAAUCUGCCAGAAAUAUUUUAUAGCAAAAGUAGAGCAAGAUUGAGUCAUGCGAUGGAUCAAUUACAACUAUAUCUACAAAACAUCCUUACUGAACAUUCCCAAAAUAUGCAUGGAUCUCUCUGUAGCAUCAAGUUUAUAUGGCAACAAAAUUACAGCAGACAAGGACUUGGAGAAAUCACUAAGUCCCUGAAAUCAGAAAUAUUACGGGGCCUACUUUGCAUGCUGGUGCUAGUCACCACAGAGAUCACAAAAAUACAUGGACUACACCACUGGAAAGAUGGCAUGGCAUACUUCAAAACACAUGUAGAGCUCAUGCUCAAAAGAUGCACAGAUUUAAUGAUACAAAUAUGACAAAUCUCCAAGUUCUGUCAAGAAUCAGAGAAUAACAGCAACUAGCCCUCUUCCAACAGAGAUUUGGGCAUCAAUAUGACCUCUAAGGAACAUGGUGCAAUUGAACAAAAUGAAGAGCAUCACGAGGCGAUCAAUUUGACAUAUUACACACGCGAAUCGGAGCUACAUGCACGGAGUUAUAGCUAUACGAACAGAGGCACUUGCUGUAGAUUUUCCAGGACUUAAAGAAAAAAGGAAGGGCGAGAAGGUCAACGCUCACGAGAUCUGGAUCGGGGAAGCUACAGGAGCUCGAGGAGCUCGGGCUCGGGCUCGUCCUCGGCCUCGCCGGCGGUGGCCGAAGGAGAGGGAAGGAGGCGGCGGCGGCGGGCGCUCGUGGGAGGAGGAGGCCGGCGGGGUCGCCCGCNNNNNNNNNNNNNNNNNNNNNNNNNNNNNNNNNNNNNNNNNNNNNNNNNNNNNNNNNNNNNNNNNNNNNNNNNNNNNNNNNNNNNNNNNNNNNNNNNNNNNNNNNNNNNNNNNNNNNNNNNNNNNNNNNNNNNNNNNNNNNNNNNNNNNNNNNNNNNNNNNNNNNNNNNNNNNNNNNNNNNNNNNNNNNNNNNNNNNNNNNNNNNNNNNNNNNNNNNNNNNNNNNNNNNNNNNNNNNNNNNNNNNNNNNNNNNNNNNNNNNNNNNNNNNNNNNNNNNNNNNNNNNNNNNNNNNNNNNNNNNNNNNNNNNNNNNNNNNNNNNNNNNNNNNNNNNNNNNNNNNNNNNNNNNNNNNNNNNNNNNNNNNNNNNNNNNNNNNNNNNNNNNNNNNNNNNNNNNNNNNNNNNNNNNNNNNNNNNNNNNNNNNNNNNNNNNNNNNNNNNNNNNNNNNNNNNNNNNNNNNNNNNNNNNNNNNNNNNNNNNNNNNNNNNNNNNNNNNNNNNNNNNNNNNNNNNNNNNNNNNNNNNNNNNNNNNNNNNNNNNNNNNNNNNNNNNNNNNNNNNNNNNNNNNNNNNNNNNNNNNNNNNNNNNNNNNNNGGAGUGGACGCGUCCGGCCUGAGGCGGACACGUCCGGCGGCGCGCGGUGGAGAAGCUAGGGUUUCGUCUGCGAUUCCGUGUUUCGGGAUGUCCACAUAUAAAUAGGUAGAGGGAGGUAGGAGGCUCCAAAUGAGGUGCGGUUUUCGCCCACACGAUCGUGAUCGAACGACCUAGAGCAUGGAAGCGAGUUUGGUGGGUAUUGGGCUGGUUUUUGAGGGGGGGUUUGCUGGACACUCAAAUGGACUUUGCGGAUGCCCGGUUAACCGUUGGAGUACCAAACGACCUCCGAAUGGAACGAAACUUGACCGGUAGUCUCCGGGUGGUGUAUUAAGGCCACUUGACAAGCCUCGGUCCAUUCCGAGAAAGUUUGACACACACACACGAAAGAAAACAAGAGGGGUGCACCGGAGGAGAUAGGAGCGCCGGAUUGCAAAACGGACAACGGGGAAAUGCUCGGAUGUAUGAGACGAACACGUAUGCGAAUGCAAAGCACAUGAUGACAUGAUAUGAAAUGCAUGAAAUGACAAAAAAACAAAACGAAAGACAAAACCCGAUAACGGAGGGAAAAUCAUAACACAUAGCCGGAAAUGGCAAGAGUCGGAGUUACAAAUAUGGCAAGUUACAUGCGGGGUGUUACAGGAGCCUUUUGCCGUCCGCGGCUGACGGCAAAGGCCUUUGCCGUCCGCCGUUCAUGCCUUUGCCGUCCGCCGUGGCAGACGGCAAAAUAGCUGAUUCCUGUAGUGCCAUAAGGCUCCUGCCAGUUGCCGAUAAUACAAAACAUGAUCAUCUCAUACAACAACGUAUAUCACAUUAUGUCUUGACCAUGUCACAUCACAACAUGCCCUGCAAAAACAAGUUGGACGUUCUCUACUUUGUUGUUGCAAGUUUUAUGUGGCUGCUACGGGCUUCUAGUAAGAACCGUUCUUACCUACGCAUCAAAACCAAAACGGUGUUUCGUCAAGUUUGCUAUUUUAAUCUUCAACAAGGACCGGCCGUAGUCAAAUUCGAUUCAACUAUAGUUGGAGAAACAGGCACCCGCCAGGCACCUUUAUGCAAAACUAGUUGCAUGUCUGUCGGUGGAACCGGUCUCAUGAACGUGGUCAUGUAAGGUUGGUCCGGGCCGCUUCAUCCAACAAUACCGCCGAAUCAAAAUAAGACAUUGGUGGUAAGCAGUAUGACUAUCAUCGCCCACAACUCUUUAUGUUCUACUCGUGCAUAUCAUCUACGCAUAGACCUUGCUCGGAUGCCACUGUUGGGAAAUGUAGCAUGCAAUUUCAAAAAAAUUCCUACGCUCACACAAGGUCUAUCUAGGAGAUGCAUAGCAACGAGAGGGGGAGAGUGUGUCCACGUACCCUCGUAGACCGAAAGCGGAAGCGUUUGACAACGCGGUUGAUGUAGUCGAACUUCUUCUCGCUCCGACCGAUCAAGUACCGAACGUACGAAACCUCCGAGUUCUGCACACGUUCAGCUCGAUGACGUCCCUCGAACUCUUGAUCCAGCAAAGUGUCGAGGGAGAGUUCCGUCAGCACGACGGUGUGGUGACGGUGAUGGUGAAGUGAUCCGCGCAGCGCUUCGCCUAAGCACCACGUGAAUAUGACCGGCGGCGUAACUAUGGAGGGGGGCGCUGCACACGGCUAACAAUGUUUGUUGUGUGUUCUAGGCGCUGAUGGCUCUCUGACUAUAGCGCCAGAAAAGCUCCUACCUGCUAGGACUACGUCGGUAUUUCCCCAAAGAGGAAGGGAUGAUGCAGAACAGCAACUGUAGGUAUUUCCCUCAGUGAAGAAACCAAGGUUAUUGAACCAGUAGGAGAACCAAGCAACACAACGUAAACAACACCUGCACACAAAUAACAACACCUCGCAACCCGACGUGUUAAAGGGGUUGUCAAUCCCUUUCGGGUAAUGAUGCCAGAAAAUUGUAGUAGAUUGAAAUAAUAGAUCGCAAAUAGAAUAAAGUGCAGCAAAGUAUUUUUGUAUUUUUUGUUUAAUAGAUCUGAAUAAAAAUGCAAAGGAAAAGUAUAUCGCAAGCAAAUAAAUGAGAAAGAAGACCCGGGGGCCGUAGGUUUCACUAGUGGCUUCUCUCGAGAAAGAUAGCAAACGGUGGGUAAACAAAUUACUGUUGGGCAAUUGAUAGAACCUCAAAUAAUUAUGACGAUAUCCAGACAAUGAUCAUUACAUAGGCAUCACGUCCAAGAUUAGUAGACCGACUCCUGCCUGCAUCUACUACUAUUACUCCACACAUUGACCGCUAUCCAGCAUGCAUCUAGUGUAUUAAGUUCAUGGAAAAACGGAGUAAUGCAAUAAGAAUGAUGACAUGAUGUAGACAAGAUCCAUUUAUCUAUUGCGUUAGAUAUAGAUCCCAUCUUUUUAUCCUUAGUAGCAACGAUACAUACGUGUCGGUUACCUUUCUGUCACUGGGAUCAAGCACCGUAAGAUCGAACCCACUACCGGGCACCUCUUCCUAUUCCAAGAUAAAUAGAUCAAGUUGGCGAAACAAAACCCAAAUAUCGGAGAAGAAAUACGAGGCUAUAAGAGAUCAUGCAUAUAAGUGAUCAAAGGAACUCAAAUAACUUUCAUGGAUAUAAAAAGAUAUGACUGAUCAUAAACUCAAAGUUCAUCAGAUCCCAACAAAUACACCGCAAAAGAGUUACAUUAUAUGGAUCCCAAGAGACCAUUGUAUUGAGAAUUCAGCGAGAGAGAGAAAGCCAUCUAGCUAACUAACUACGGACCCGAAGUCCUACAAAGAACUACUCACGCAUCAUCGGAGAGGCACCAAUGGAUGUGGUGAACACCAUCCGAGAUGAUGUCUAGAUUGGAUCAGGUGGUUCUGGACUCUCGGCGGCUGGAUGAAUAUUUCGUCGACGCUUCUAGGGUUAUGGGAUUUUUGGGGUAUUUAUAGAGAAAAGAGGCGGUCCGGGGGGCACCCGAGGUGGGCACAACCCACCAAGGCGCACCUGGGCCUCCUAGCACGCCCUGGUGGGUUGUCCCCUCCUCGGGACUCCCCCAGGUGCAACCAGGGCCCAAUGUGUUCCUUCUGGCCCAUAAAAAAUCAUCAUGGAGUUUCGUGGCAUUUGGACCCCGUCUGAUAUUGAUUUCCUGCGAUUAAAAAACAUGGAAAAACAGCAACUGGCACUUUGCACUAUGUCAAAAGGUUAGUACCAAAAAAUAUAUAAAAUGAUUAUAAAACAUCCAAGAUUGAUAAUAAAACAACAUGGAACAAUAAAAAAUUAUAGAUACGUGGGAGACGUAUCAGGCGCCCCCUCCUCACGUAUAUAAAGGAGGGAGGGGGAGGAGGCCGGCCCUAGGCGCGCCCAAGUAGGAGGAAUCCUACUUGGGCUCCUACUUGGAUUCGCCCCCCCCCCCUUUCCUUUUACCGGAGGGGGAAAGGGGGAAAGAGAGAGAGAGGAGGAGAAGGAAAGGGGGGCGCCGCCCCCUCCCCUAGUCCAAUUCGGCCUCCUUCCCUAUGGGGGCUCGCCACCCCUUUGUGAGCUGGUGUGCCUCCCUCCUAUGGCCCAUAUGGCCCAUAUCUUCCCCCGUGGGGUUCUGGUAACCCCCCGGUACUCCGAUAUGUACCCUAUACACUCCAGAACACUUCCGGUGUCCGAAUACUAUCAUCCAAUAUAUCAAUCUUUACCUCUCGACCAUUUCGAGACUCCUAGUCAUGUUCGUGAUCUCAUCCGGGACUCCGGACAACACUCGGUCACCAAAUCACAUAACUCAUAUAAUACAAAUCGUCAUCGAACGUUAAGCAUGCGGACCCUACAGGUUCGAGAACUAUGUAGACAUGACCGAGACACCUCUCCGGUCAAUAACCAAUAGUGGAACCUGCAUGCUCAUAUUGUCUCCCACAUAUUCUACGAAGAUCUUUAUUGGUCGAACUGUAAUGACAACAUACGUUAUUCCCUUUGUCAUCGGUAUGUUACUUGCCCGAGAUUCGAUCAUCGGUAUCUUCAUACCUAGUUCAAUCUCGUUACCAGCAAGUCUCUUUACUCAUUUCGUAAUGCAUCAUCCCGUAACUAACUCAUUAGUUACAUUGCUUGCAAGGCUUAUUAAGAUGUAUGCCAACCCAACAAAUCCUAAUCUUGAUCUAUGCCAACCCAACAAACACCUUCAGAGAUACCUGUAGAGCAUCUUUAUGAUCACUCAGUUACGUUGUGACGUUCGAUAGCACACAAUGUAUUCCUCCGGUAUUCGGGAGUUGCAUAAUCUCAUAGUCAAAGGAUAUGUAUAAGUCAUGAGGGAAGCAAUAGCUAUAAAACUUAACGAUCAUGAUGCUAAGCUAACGGAUGGGUCUUGUCCAUCACAUCAUUCUCCUAAUGAUGUGAUCCCGUUCAUCAAAUAACAACACAUGUCUAUGGUUAGGAAACUUAACCAUCUUUGAUUAACGAGCUAGUCUAGUAGAGGCUUACUAGGGACACUGUGUUUUGUCUAUGUAUCCACACAUGUAUCAAGUUUUCGGUUAAUACAAUUCUAGCAUGAACAAUAAACAUUUAUCAUGAUAUAAGGAAUAAAUAUAACAACUUUAUUAUUGCCUCUAGGGCAUAUUUCCUUUAGGUAUUUUUGCUGAACAGGACCAAAACCCCAAUUGUCCUCCCAAAAUGAUAUGGUGUUGCCUUGACCAAUAAUUCCUCUUGUGCAACUCUUGUAUUGUGGCAGCAGCUUGAUAAGUUGUGGAAUCUAUCGAUCGGCCAUCCAAAUUCAGCAUAUUAAGAGUUGGGACAGAGGUGCUAAGCCUUUCCUUAAAAGCCUUGAGAAGGAUAUUUGCCUUGGAGCUGUGAUCUCUAUGGAUGAGUCAUCAUGCAAACUGUCAAUAUGAUUAACUCUAUAUUUGAGAGUAGCUUUGGCCUGGAAAUAUUUUGAAUUGGCCUCUCCAAAUUUGACCCAUCUGAUUGUGGCCCUUUAUUGCCAAUAGAUCUUUUGCAUAUCAAGAAGGCUUAACAAGUGCUUCUUUAAAAAAUCCCUACCAUUCCAUUCAGCAUCAGUUAGUGGUAUGAAUUCUUCAAUGUUAUCAAAGAACAAAAGUACUACAUUUGUAUUCUUGAUGGAGUUGGAGAGAUGUGAAAUAGAUUUAGCCCAAUGUUUCAAACAUUUUCUUAACCUUUUGAAUUUGGCAGUGAUUCUUUUAGCACUAUCUGUGAUGUGCAGAUCUUGAUCCCAAUUUGCUUUAAAAGUUUCCUUGAAACCUUGAAUUUGUAGCCAAAAGUUCUCAAAUCUGAAAAUUCUUGCUUUUGGAACAUGUGUGCCAAUUUUAAUCAGACCAGGAGUAUGGUCUAACACAGGUUUAGCAAGAAGGAGAACAAGAGUGUUGGGGAAGUGUGUUGUCCAGGCCUCAGAAGUGAAAAACCAAUCCAGUUUUUCCAGCAAAGGUGCCAUCUACAUGUUGCUCCAAGUGAAGGAUCUUCUUUUCCAUAAGAGCCAGGGAAUUGAUAGCGUCAUUGAAUUUCAACAUAUCUGCAAAAAUACCUCCCUCCCUAUUUCUGUUUUGAGGAUAUCUGAUAUAGUUGGAAUCCCCCACGAUGAUCCAUUUAGUGUCUUCAGGCAUCUGGACGGCAUUGCCAUUGUUUACAAAAAGUGUAAGACGUUUUAUGUCAUUGUCUAUUUAGAAGCAUAUCCAACAGGCGCGCUACCGCACGACGCAUUAAAUUUUUUUGCAGCGCCAAAAUAGCAUUUUAGAGCAUCUCCAACAGGCGCGCUUCACCUCGGUGCUGCAUAAUUCUUUUACAGCGUCAAAAUAGCCUUCUUGCGUGUAGGAGCGAUGAAGUGGUUUUCCAGAUGCACAAACACAUGACGCCCAAGCCGGUGGCCCCACCUGCAGCAGCCCACACGCACAAUUCGACGCCCCGAAUUUGCAGCGUAGCAGCCCCCGCGCUAAAGUUUUUUGUUCGCGCUAUAUUUACAACGUCUGCAGGAGGGUUGUUUUCUUUCUCCGGCGCACAAAAACGACUGUUUUAGCGCGCGAGGCAUUUUUUGAGCGCCUGUUGGAGAUGCUACUAGCGCGCAAGAGGGUGAUUGGUUUACCACAUGCUGCAAAAUAAAGCGCACUGCUAUAGCGCUUCACCAUCCGCUACAAAAUCCAGCGCGUGCGACUAGCCCACGCUUGGAAAAAUUAAAAAAACAACACAUACGAAAAAAUAUGAAAUAAUACAUAGUUCAAAUUCAUAGCAUAGUUCAGGCCCCAAACCACAAGCAAGUUCAUACGAUGCUAAAUAAAAAUAGGUAAAAACGAUACUAGAUAAAACAAGAUAAGCAAAUAAAACUACUCCUCGUCCUCCUCGAUGGUGUAGUCCGAGGAUGUACACGCGUCGAGCCACCGAGGAUCUUCAUCGUCUAGGUCGACGCAGGUCCCAGCUCGAUCUGGGCUUCCGCCAGUUCCUUCCGCGCACGCUUUUCUGCCCGACGCACGGCUUGCUCCACCCUCCUCUACGCCCAGAACUCAUUCUCGGCGGCGACAUCCUGCGGGAAGCGCUCACGCCACACCGCCAUGGCGUGCUCAUCCGCCUCGGCAAUGAGGAAGCGGCGCUCCCUCCUCCGCUGGAGGCGGCGAUCCUCGUCAGUGAUUAGAUGCGGGGGAGGCGCGAGUUCCUGCGCCUGCUCGCGCGUCCGCACGUCGGAGAAGUUCACCUGCGACCGAGGCCACCCGAGGCGCCACGCCGUCGCAUCGUACGCACGGGCGGCCUCGAAUGUUUUGAGUAUGAGGCGUGAAUCAUCGGAGCGGAUCUUCGCGUAAUACACGCCGGAGGGGCGGAGGCGGACGCCACGGAAGCCCGAGCGGAUCCGGGGCGCGGCGAUAUGGCGGGACGUUGGAAGAGGCGGGGGGAGAAGACGUGGCGGCGGCGGGGAGGGGGAGAAGGCCCGACGGCGGCGGGCCAAUGGAAGAGGCGAGGAAGAAGGCGUGGCGGGAGGGAAAUCGUGGCGGUUGGCGGGCACAGGCGCGCGACUUUUAACCAGCUCGUUGGGCAUCGCGCGCCAAAACUACCGCGCGCUGCCGCUUUUUCCCGCGCGGGCGCCAAUUUUUUUCGCGCGCCUGCUGGAGCUCACCACACGGCCUCUCGCGCGUCAAACUGGCGGUUUAUCCAGCGUGCCCGAUAUUUCGCGCGCCUGUUGGAGAUGCUCUUAGAGGAGGGGUAAGUUUAACUGUUUAAGUCCCUCCAUUUUAUUUACUGCAAUUAUUAGCUUGACCUGAAUCAAACUUUAUAAAGUUUGACUAAGUUUAUCUAAAAUAAUCUAAACUUUCACAAAAGAAAUAUACUCCCUUUGUAAUCAAAUAUAAGACCGUUUAGAUCACUAUAAUAUUAUAUUUAUUUACAAAAGGAGUAUAUGAUAUAAAAAUUAAAAGUAUAUUAAUUGAUAAUUCUAAUGGUAUUGAUUUGGUAUUUUAGACUUAAUAAUAUUUUAUAUAAACUUUGACUUGAUACCGAACUAAUAUGCAAAGUAAAUAAAACCUAAGGAGUACAUACAAACAGUUUAACAAUAAAACAUAUACACACCAGAGCAUACCAGGCCAUCUGGACCAGCAUGGCCCGGCCCACCCUUAAACGUGUGGCCCUGUCGUGCCGGCACGCGUAGCUUGUCUAAAGGCUCAGGCACGUCAUGUAAAGUACACGGAUGCUAUAUCUCGUUCAUAGAGCAAGAUGUAGCAUCUGUCUCGCCUAACAUCUGUGUGAUGUGGGCCGGCCCAUUAGCUAUAUUCGCUUGUGUUGCUGUAAUUCACUCUGCUCUGCUUUCCUCUGGUUUUUUUCUUUUUUUCACCAUAUUUAUUUGUUCUUUCUUGGUUUUCACUUUAUUUUUUUCUUUUAUUUCUUUUCUUCCUUCGUUAUUUUCUUUGUUUCUUUUUCUUUCUUCACUGGUUUUCUUGUUUUGUUUGUUUCUUUUUCUUUUUUCACUGGUUUCUCCAGUUUUCUUGUUUUCUUUUUCUCUAUGGUCUUUGCUUAUAUCUUUGUUUUUAUUUCUAUUUUUUUAAGACAUGUCUACACUUUCCUUACACACUAAACAUUUCUUAUACGCCAAGAACAUUAUUCAAUACACGUUUAAUUUUUUAAAUAUAUGAUUAACAUAUUUUUUUCAAAUAUUUUUUUUGAUGCCUAUUGUUUUCGUACACAUUUUACAUUUUUUGUUUGCAUCUAAAACAUUUUCUAAUACAAGCUUAAAAUUUAGUAUAUGCAUGAUUAACAUUUUUUAAUAUAUGUUUUUAUGUCUACUUUUUCCGUACACAUCUAACAUUUUUUAUACAUCCAAAGCAUUUUCGUAUACAUGUUUAUCACUUUUAGUACAUGUUUAGCAUUUUUAAGUACAUUUUAACACCUUUUCAGAUAUAUGUUUUGAUGUCUAUUGUUUUCAUACACAUGGUACAUUUUUUGUAUACAUCUAAUAUUUAUUUUUAUACAUGUUUACCAUUUUUAUAUACAUGAUUAAUAUUAUUUUUCAAAUACAUGUUUUGAUGUCUACUUUUGUCGUACACAUCAUACAUUUUCUCAUACAUGUGAAACUUUUCUCUACAUGUUUAAUUUUUUUUGAAUAAUUUGUAUACAUCAGAAACAUUUUCUAUACAUGCUCAACACUUUUCAAAUGUAUGUUUAACAUUUUUUCUAAAUUUUAUGUAAAGUGUUUUCUAAUAUAUAAGGAAAAAAUAAAGGAAGAAAACAAAACAAAAAGGUGAAAAAAGAAGAAAAAAGCGCUUUAAGGCCUGCAACCUCCGGCACGCUGGGCCGACCCAUUGUCUCAGCCGCUUGAGGCGAGAGGUUGUUGUGUGUCGCAUCAAGCGAGACAUAGUCAUCCCCCAUGAAGUAAACAUGUCGGCCCGUGGCAUGUUUAGUAUCUAAUGGGUCGUUCGGCACAUUAUUCCUUUUCUAACCUAAUUACUUCAAAAAAUUAGAAAAAUCUAAAGAGUUUACAUAAAAAAACAAAAAGUGAGGCAAAGUGUCAUAUGGAAUAAAUCUUGAGCUUUAUUAGUGUUUGCCUCAUUAAAGCCUUUCAUCUCAGGGAAGAAAAAAAAGUGCAAAGCCACACUCUGAAUUACAAAAGGAAAAGGAAAUUACAAAAAAUAAUAUAAAGCCACACUAUGAAUUACAAAAAUAAAAAAAAAUACAAAGAUUACAACUAUUCUUCCAUUCUUCUUUGUGAACGGCAAGAUUUUGGAAUGUGGAUUGCAGUGCAAUUGGGCUCACGAUCAUUAGUAUUUCCUGGGUGAGACUAGUUUUUCUCUCCUCAAGUAUUCUUCCAGCUAGACUGAAAGCAUACUCCGAUGAUACCAUUGAGACGGUUACUGAUAACACAUUCCGUGCUAACAUGGAAAACACCGAAUAUGUAAGCUUGUGGUCAUGCCACCAUUGUAGUAUGUUGAACUCCUCCUCCUCCUCCUCCUCCUCCUCCUCCUCAUCAUCAUCAGUAAAGUUGAUUUUGUCUCUGUUGAGGUACUUCGCUAACUCCCUGCCACCUCUAAGCACAGGCUUUGCUGCGGCUACGGAAGAGCUCGAUGCAGACGAGGAGAACCAAAUAUUUUGCUUCAUGCUCCUUUCUCAUUUCCUGUAGUUGGUGCUGGUGGAGGCCGUUGCAUCCAAACGACAUAGUUAUGUUCGUACUUGCCAUAAACUUCAGAAAGCUUAUCACGAACAUAAGUGAAAUAAGAAAAAUAUUCUACACUUACGGCCGCAAAUAGUACAACAGGGCAUUACCUAACCCGUCAAGUUUAGCCCUAGGAUCAAAAAUAAAUUCAAAUGCAUACAAAAUAGGAAUAUUUUUCCAAUAUUUCAAAUAUUCAAGUUUUAUGUGCGCAACAGCUACACAUGAAAUUUCAUCAUUUCCGUAUGCUUUCAGGUGAGUAGCAAUCUCUAAAAUAUUAUGCAGCAUUAAAGAAGAUUUGGGAUAAUAAACAUACACAAUACUUGAGCAACAUGCCAAUUUUAGCAGCGAUUAGCUGUGUUCAUAAUUCGCCCAAAUCCCCGAAAAGAACCUUUGUUAGGGAGAAGUGACUUAAGCAUCAUAUAUAUAAAGUUCCAUCUAACAGGCAUGUUUAAAUUAUACUUAUGAGGAGUUUCCCCUAUAGCUAUGCAGUAUCUCGCGUAGUUUGCAAGUCUUUGAUUAGAAGCACCAAGAAAAGGUAUUGCAGUUGCACAAAGCAUUAAUGUGUGUUUCACAUCUCUCUAAAACACAUUUAGCAAUAAGAUUAAUUAUAGGACACGCACAAUGUUGAUGCAGAAAAAAAUAUGCAAUAUAUACGGAAAAUAGAGGAGGACAUUCAUUGCACUAGUAUUUGUCGAAGCAUUACCCAAAGUUACUGCAAAAAUCUUGUUGGUGAGACAAAAUUGUUCACAGCUUUAAUUACAGCUUCAACAAUGAUCUCACAAGUAUGUGCUAUACGUCAAUUAAUUCAAACCCUAUGAUUCUAUUUUGCACUUCACACUUUUCGGAAACAUAAUGAGCGACCAUACUAAUGUACUCUUGUUUUGCCCGACUACUCUAGAUAUCAAAUGUUAAAGAGACUGAAAAUUUACAUGCAGUAAAGUCUUCUUUUGUUUUCAUAAGAACACCUUUUGCACAAAUUUUUCAUAUCCCUAGUUGUAGUUUGUCUAGAAACUUGUUUGAAAUUAGGAGUAUGAGUAGUUUGAAUAUAUCCAGUAAAAGCGCCAAACCCGCUAAAACCUAAUGGUAAAUCAUUAGCAACAAUUAAACGACAAAGAGCUUCUCCUAGAAAAUUAGCAUCAUAGCUGAAAUUACGUACCGAACCGUCGGGGUUGAACUUGAGUGUGGUCUGUCUCACCGCGGACUCUCCAUCCUUCUUGGUGUGGGCGUUGAUGUGCCCCUUCAGGUGAUCGGUUCCUCCUUUACACCCCACCCCCGCGGGCACGUGGAUACACGUUGUCACAACUUUUGCACUUAGUUCUAAUCCGGCAGACACCAUUCACUUCAAUUAUUUCUUCAUCGAAGUGCUCCCACACCUCAGAGGUUGUGUGACGAGCCAUUUUUUGCACCGGUGCUGGUGGAGGAAGUGUUGGCACUAAUGGAAUGGGCACCAGAUUAUGAAGGCGGUGCAUUAUCAUCGAGAGGAGAAUAAGCAGUAUUGUGGGGAUUGGGAUCGAUAAACUCGGGUAUGUCAAUCUCAAAAGCACUUGCUUGGAAGGUAUCGAAUUGGUUGUGAUCAGUCAUGUUUGAGUGUGGGAAAUGAGAGGGUUGGGAAACCCUAUUUAUAGCAAAACAUUGGCAUUUUAGACCAGUUUACGCGUCCAAUGACUAAAAAAAUCUGCUUAAAUGGGCCAAAACUGCCCCUAAACGCCACAACUUAAACGUGCCAUGGUCCCCCACUCCCCCAACGGCUCAAAUCAUCCUAUCCUCCCUGUGUGCCGUCUGUCCCCGCUCCUCUAACGGCUCGCACAAGUAGUGGCGUGCCUGGUGGGUCAUGUCGGCCAUGUCAUUCAUGCGAUGGUCACCUACUAAUCGUGCCGUGCCAGGACGGCACACGUGCCUCGCCUCAUGGUCUAGGCAUGGCUCCGGGCAUGCUGCAUACAGGGUUGGGCACAUGUAGUGUCGGGCACAUGUGCUUCUGUGCCGGCCCACAAAGCAUGACCCUUUUGACCAAGUUUGCACCUGUGUAUCUACAAGUCAAUUGUCUUCAUCCUCUAGGGGAGAUGAUUGUAGACGCAUGCCGCUUCAUUAUCGAAACGCUGUUGAUCGUGGAUGGGAAGUUAGUAAGGCCAUGAGCAUGUCAGAUUAGCGCCCCGGAGAAGAUAUCAUGACCACACAUUUAGUAUGGCCUCUUUGUGAAGGGCCCCAUGAUGGGCUAAGUGGUGUGUCAUUUUGCUUAUGGCGCCCAAUUAAUUGAAGACAUGAAAAAUACAGGAUGAUUGUUUCCUAACAAACUUUUGAUCAAAGACUUCCUGGACGACGAUACCAUUUGCACUCAAGUGCAUGUUUGAUGUGAGGUUCUGGCCCCUGAACUUCAUUGGAUCUCAUGGAUGUUGGGACACGCUUCAAUCGAUGCAACUAUAGUAUGCUUCCAGCAUGUCGCUAGCCAGAAACCAAGUCAUUCGGGUCCCAGUACUACCAACCAGGGUUCUGAUGGUUGAAUCAUGGGGGACAAGUCCACCCAGAUACACCCAAGUAAUGGGAAGUUGCAAUGCACCUCUAGCAGGCCACUAGUCGGUUGUAGAACCACUCGGGACCAAAGCAUCAUAGUCUAUGUUCUAUUCUAACACAAAUCUCGAGUGCUCCCUAGAGGGACACCCAGUUGGACCAUAGCGACUCAAGAAACCAAGUACUGAUAUGUCUCAAACGUAUCUAUAAAUUUUAAUGCUCAUGCUAUAAUUAUUAUUUAUACAUAGUUUUGGCAUAAUUUCUAUGGUUUUAUUAGACUAACAUAUCAAUUCAGUGACAAGCCAGUUGUUUUUGUAUGACGUAAAUAAAUAUUUUCGGAGAGAAAACCAAUAAAUUAAACUAUGCUGUGAAUCACUAGGAGAUCGCCGUGGCCAAAAAUGGGACAAAGGGGCUGGCCAGGUCACAUCACAUGGCCGCAUGGGGCCCACGGUGCAUUGCCUUGGCAGCUCCACCAUGAUGCCUUUAGAUUUACCCCUAACCCUGAACAUAUCCAUUGAGGAAUUUGUACACCACGACUUCACCCAAUCCAAGGCGAUCCAGUCUUUGGUCUUUCUCCGGUAAUAUGCCUAAGAGGAAAAUUCAAAUCAGAGCCUUCUUCAUCAACUCCGUUGCUCCGUUGAUCAUGUGUGAUUCGUACUAUGGGUCCAUAGCAAUGUAUGUGUGGUAUCUUCUCUCUCCUAUUCUUCAAUAUAAAGAUGACAUGAGCUUACUAAUAUGAUUGUGAUCAUUCGGAAGUAAUUCCCAGUGUGUUUGUUCCGGUGUGACGAAUUGUCAUUUUGUGAUCAGAUCAUAUAUGGAUUUUUAUUGGUUUACUUUGGUUCUUUCAUGCAUGAUUUACACAUGUACACACUCUCUGAUCUAUCAGUAUUACACUGACCAUGUUUCGAUAAUGAUCUCCAAGAUGGAGUUAUGUAUGUUGGUCGGGUUUAACCUUUUAAGUAAUCUAUCUUAGUGAAAAGGAGAAAAAAGGCUGGUAUUGUGUUAUUGCCACUAAGGAUAAAAAGAUAGUUGCCUAGUUGUCUUGGUGAUGAACCAUAGGUGAAGGAUUUACUAUCAACAUUAUGUCACCUUGCUUAAUGCACAACUCUGUUUUGUUACUUGAUACUUUGGGAUGCAUGAUGAAUAUCAUGUCUUGAAGUGGAGUAUUAGCUAUAAAUGCAGUUGGAUAAUGUUCGAUGGAUAUAAGGACGUAAUGCCUAUAUGCAAUCAUGACAUAUAUACUCAAACAUAAAAAUACAAUUUAAUCGGUACAUAAUAGUAAUUUCUUUACCAUGCCUAUGCUAUUUGGAAAGUUUCCACUCGUGAUAUUAUGGAUCCCGGUCCUUUAUCACAAAUACAACCUUGUUUUCUUGUUCUACAGUCCUUUAACAUUCCGAAUUUAUUUUAUUUGCAUAAAAAACAAUUCCAAACACUUGUCCUUGCAACUACCAAAGCUAGUGAGAUUGACUAACUCACUACAAGUGUUGGAUAUCAUGUGUUUUGAGUAUAGAGCUCAUUGGCUUGUAGGAGAAUUCGCAGGUUUGAUACCUUGAUAGGAAAACUUUCUUCUUGCUACAAAGUCUUACGCUCGGAGGCCCAACAGGAUUCUUGUUGGAACUUAAGUAAAAGAAACAUCUGCAACAUGUACCACUCGGGAAUUCUUUUGAGAUUCAUGGUAUUCCCCAUGCCGGGUCACUUGCUAGACUCCUUCUGCUGGAAACUAGUUUUAUGAGUCCAUCACAAUCUACCUGCAAGCAAUAAGACGACGCGCUCAUGCGAAUACCGCUCUGGAAACUUUCCCAAUGGAUAAGGAUGAAGCACUCGGCUCAGUCGGGGACACCGCGAGGAUAAGCAACAGUCAGAUCAUGAAGCACUCGGGGAUACAUGAGAUUACAUAUCAACACGAGAAAAGUCAUGGAGGAAAAAAGUCAUCCCGAUAACCUUAGGGUGACCUCAUGGUGUGGGCAGGACAUACGACUCGGAGCCCGCUUCCUACAGAGGGGUGUAUCAUCAUCUUGGAGUACAAGGUAACAAGAAAGCACACUUGACACACCAAGGUCCGAUUGGACCUGUAUGGAGAACCAAUUUGUAAACCGACCCAAGCCAUGUAAGGUGGGCUAGGGGCCACUUGGUUGGGGAUCGGUCAAUGAAUCUCCACUCUCUAGAACGGGAUUCACGGUUUGUCAUCUAACCCUUCAUCUCCCACCUCUUUGCCGCCACCGUGACUAUAUUUUGUAACCAAUAAUCCUAGCUUGCAAUCGCUCUAAUCUCAAGCCGCAGUUGAGCAAUACAACUCACAAUACCAGGAGUAGGGUGUUACAUAUCUCAAGAUGACCCAAAGCUGGGUAGAAUCGUGUAUCUCAUGUGCAGCCAUCUAGAUCUGCUCCUAAAUCAGAGCUCCCACAACUAUUGUCGAAUAAAAAUAGUACCUUGAAUCUUUAUUAUUCCCAAGUUGUUGCACAACAUUGGUCGAGCGAAAGACCCUGCUAAAUCCUACUAAUCGGGUCACGAGAAGGGAAUAGGUGUAAACACAUUAUUCGCUACCACCCAGACUCACGGGUGCAAGCUCUAUCCAGUAUUUAGCUCUGCUAUGGUCCCAACUCGAGUAAGCUCAUGGAGCGACUCGGGACGUGUCCCAUGUUAUCCAGGGGAGAGUUGAUGCUCCCAUUGUGUCAAAAGAUAGACGGGAAAGACUCGCAGAGGACAAUGUUGGAUGCUACUCCCCCAACUCCAUCUCUUUUGAGUAAAAUUGCAACUUCAUUUCAGAUAUUACCAUGGGCUUUUCACCGUGUACAGGUGUAUAUAGGCAGGGUAUCCCUAUGGGCGUGCAUGGAUCAAGUCCACCAACAAAUAUCUAUGCGCCCCCGCACUAGUCAUGCUUGAGUAGACACUCGAAAGGACAAGGAUGUGCACGCAAAGUCUAGGACUUGACUGUUAUAGGUGCUACGUUCACGUAACUGUGGUAGCAAUAGACCAUAUUGUCUCUCCCCGAAGCUAGCUACCUAAUCACGAGCACAUGUCAACCUAAAAAUAGGGCAGAAGGUCUCCAGGGAUAAAGCCACCGUUUCACCAUCAUCGCCGAUGAGACCACUUCGGGCAUAACUAUUCCCUCUAUAGUCUUCUGCGAUCUCUAGUAAAUCGUAAGAUCGAGAUGCAUUAGUCGUCGACACCAAUGAUUAUAUAGCCCAAACUUUGGAGUGAGACAUUGAGAUGAGUUGUGAAAAUUGUCAGAGUCUUGGCAUGACAAAUAAAGAGUAUCAUUUCAUCCGAAAAAAAGAGAGUGUCAUUUACAAUGUAAACGCUAGACCCGUCUCAUGCUCAAUGUCUGGGUGUAUGGCUGUGCGCAUCACUUUGAUGAGACCGAGGGCCUCCUUUUCAAAAAGAAAACGUUGAUGUUUGGUGUAUUUAUACGUGUAUGUGCGCGCUUCGAAGUUGUAUUGUGUUUAGGCGAGUAUGUUUUUUGAAACAAGGGUUUAGGCGAGUAUGACGAUUAGCUUAAAUAAUACUCCCUUCGUCUCAUGAUAUAAAACAUUUUAUAUUAUGAGACGGAGGGUGUACUACGGUGAAUCUGCAUUGAGCAAGACAAAGUACUAUACUGUUUAGUUGACUAUUUUAUUUCUUUCAUUCAGUUCACAGGCCGAUGCAAGUAUGGGAACAAAGCGAGCAAUCAACAACUCUAGCAAGAAUGCAACAGCGGCGGGUUCGCGUACGGCCCAUGCAACACCCCAUCGGCGAUGACGUUGUAGGCCUUCUCAGUCAUGUGGAUGCCGUCCCAAUUGGCGCAGUUAGCCGGGGAACCCAUAAUAGUGGAGUGCUUGUCGCAUGUCCCGACGUGGUACCGGCCACCGCCGCCGCAGCAUGCCACCAGAGGAUCACCGAUACCUGCAUUCCCAAACGCAAAACGGUCGAGCAAUGAGCGCGGCGCAUGGAACCAAAUACACAUGUAGUCCGCUUAGAUUAGGAGAAGGAAUGCGAUCGGGCGUCGGUUACUGACCAAAUCUGUGUGGGUUCCUGAAGAUCUCCAUGGCGGCGCCGAAGUAGUCGGCGUAGAUGAGCUUCACCCAUGGAUGCCGCGCCCUGAGCCUGUUGACCUCGUUGGACAGCGCCGUGUUGUGCCUCAUGGAGAAGUCGUUGUACCACCUGAGGCAGCCGAACUGGUCGUAGUCUGCACGGUUACCCGUCUGGUGAUCGUUCAGGUACUUGGGCACGCACCCGAUGGGGAAGUUCCCCGGGAUCAUGAUCGUCUUCGCGCCGAGGUCGAUGAGCUCCUGCAUGCAUACGAUGACAGAUGAAACCACCUACGAAUACGAUGCAUUGAUGUAUAUAUGCAUGAUUUGUUUGUACUGGCUAAUUGAUGGCGUGUAAGCACCUGAGCAAUACUGAUGAUGCGGUUGACUACGUCUGGGAUGAACUGGUAGGCUGUUUCACGUGUUUUAUUAUUGUUGAGUAACCAGAAGUUGUAGUCGUUGCCACCGAUCUCGCCCAAUAUGAUGAGAGACUCUCCCAGGAGUCUCCUCGCACCUGGCACAUCAUCGUACGUAGCCCAAUUAAUAAAGCAGUACUUAUCAUGUACUAGUAGCUACUCUAGUAACUAAAACUGAUAUGCUAAACCCCGUGGUUAGUUUGAUUACCGGGCCCUGGUGCUAUCCGUUGUAAUACUUCUUUGAACCAGCCCAUCUGCAUGCCCAGGUUGGCAGACCCGGGAAUACCAAGGCCCCAUCUUUUGAAGUACUCCGGGGAAGCGCCGUGGCAGCAAACACUGCGAAGUUGGCACCGAAUGUGCAUUGUCCCGAUCUCUGCUCGGGCAAGCUUGGCUGUACCAGCGGCAGACCCAGCGCUUGCGCUGCAACACGUACGGACACAGUUGUCAGCACAGCCAGACACUAUUGUGAGCACAAAGAGGUAGCUAUAUCCAUGUGCUGUGCACUGCACUCACCGUAGAAAUCAAGGAGGACGCGCCCGUCACAGACGCGGCCUGUGGGGUGGUGGAAGAAGGUCAUCCCAUAUGGGAACUCCUUCAACGCGUUUGGAGCGCUGCCGGUCGAAUACACGAAGUUGCCGGUGUCGAUGAUGGAGUCGCCGAAGGAGAAGAUGCGCUUGUAGCAACUAGCAGAUGACCCGGGAGCGCUGAGCAGCAGGACGACCGCGACGAGGAGGAUGCACGAGGAAAUGGAACGGUGUCCUCGACGCUCCGAGGCCAUCGAGACACUGCUGUUGCUACAACGUUUGCAGGCUGACACGGUGACUGGUUUGUGAUCCGAAGUAGUUCAUUUGACCUCCUUUUUAUAGCAUCUUCAGGCCGAAUUCUACUAGCAGGGGUAAAUACGAUGGCAGUGAGUACACCGAUAUCCUGAAGAUACAUUUCUUGCGUUUCUCUUCUUUUGUUAUGUAUCUAAACGAUAGAUUUGUAUCCUCUAUAUUUUUUUUUGAGAUUUAUAUCCUCUAUAUAUAAAGUUUGACGAAUAAUUUCUUCGCGUCGCCAGCCCUUAAUCUUAAUAAUACAGUUCAAUAAUUCAAGAUACUCUCUCCGUCCCAUAAUAUAAAAUCUUAUUACAUCCGAUGAUAUCAAAUCGAACGAGGGCACAUACAUUAAUUGUACCAUGGCAUAUACAUUAAUAUGCACAUAUAUCUAUUAUAAUGACAUAAUAUUACUAUGAAAAUGAUAUUCUUCAUAUAUAUCCACUGGUUGACUCUAGAAACUGCCGAACUGGCCCAUUGGUUAUAUUUGUACAAAAAAAAACCCUACAAAUGUUCUAAAUUAAGAAGCUACAAUGUAUAUUCCAACACUUCUACAAAUGGAUGCCACUAGCCAACAGAUGUGCAUCCGAUAGAAAGACGCACACAAUGUUAUAUAAAUGUUAACAUGUGGUAGGUUUCAGGAAUGGAUUCUAAUAAUAGGUUAGAACAUAUUUGAAAGAAAAUCCAAUUGCAAUGAGGGCAAUUAUUAAGACAAUUGUCGAAAACAAAAUAAGGAAGAUAGUUAUACAUUUGUUUUUGAAAAAAAUGCAUAUUUUUCACAACCGAUCCUCAAUAACUUCAAACAAAACUUAUUUGGGACGACAAAAAUAUAGACUUUGGUUGAAAAUAAAAUCAAGAUGAACUUGAUAUCAAAUGGAAAUGCAAAUUCUGGACAAGAAUAGAGAAGAAGAGAACCCAAAUUCGGCGCAAUUUUGGAAGAAAAUAUAUUAAUUUCACCAGCAGAUAUUAUAUGAUAUCAAAAUGCACCGGGGCAUAUACAUUAAUUUCAAAAGAUUUAUGUUCAUAUAUCUAUUAUAGUGACAUAAUAUUGCUAAGAAAAAAACAUCCUUCAUAUCUGUUGGUUGACUCUAGAAACUGGCAAACUGGUCUACUGGUUAUAUUUUGUAGAAAAGACCCUACAAACUUUCCAAAUUAAGAAGCUACAAUCUUUUUCUAACAUUUCUAUAAAUAGACGCCACUAGCCAAAAGAUGUGCAUCCAAUAGAAUUCGCACACAGUGGUAUCUAUAUAUAUCUUAUAUAGACAAACCGCACUACAAGUCGUUAAUUGCUAUUUCCCUGUGCAUGCAUGCUUCCACAUCAUCUAAAUUUUCACAACCAUUGAGUUUACUGGCUUGGUCAACUAACAUUGGUAUGUUUCGAACAUGACAGUCUCUCUACCUUUGCAACAUGCAUAGCUGAUUUUAAAUGCCAUCACAUUUAAUUUAUGACACGAUCAACUUUUUAUACUGUUCUUUUUUGUUUCUACAUAGCAGAGCUUAAAUCUUCAGGAUGAAUUCAUAUUGUAUACAAUAUUUAGAAAUCAACUAUCUAAUCAUCGUGGCAACGCACAUGGUAUCGUCUAGUAAAUGUUAGCAUGCAGUGUCAGGAAUGGAUUUAAAUAACAAGUUAGAGACAUAUUUGGAACGAAUCCAAUUGCAAAGAAACAAAUUAAGAGAAAUGUUGAUUCAUGUCCAUGUGUAUCAAGAAAAUUGUGGAAAGCUAAAUCAUGACCGCAUAUUACAUUUGUUUCUGAAAAGCGUUAUACCCAUUUUUCUGAUCUAGUUGUAGUAAAGUGAAAAGAAACUUACUUGGGAUAGAAAAAAUAGUAUUGAUGAAAACAAAUUGAGAUCAAAUGCAAAUGCAAAACAAAGAUAGAAUCAUAAGCUUAAUCAUGACAAAUUUACAGCUGAAGAUAACCCAAAUUCAGCAUACUACUGGAAUAAAAAUUAAACCAAAAUGCAACAAAAAGAUUAGUCCAAUAUGUGACAAGAAAGUCAAAAUUAUCGGGAAGUAAUUUCCAAAUUAAUUUGAGGGAGACCAACAACACACAUGAAUGCGAAUCAAGAGCAAUCCGAGAUUUGAUGUUGUAGUCAUGCCCUUGCCAUCAUCGAGGCUAGAGGGACCACACACCACAACCUACAAUAGAUAUGAAUGCAAAAAUUGUUGUCAUGGCACCUUCAUAUCCUUUCUGUUAUCAUCAUCUUGAACUCUGGCUACCUAUGGAUCCACCUCGAUCACCUUUCCUCUCCUGAUCCACCUAGCAUCAGGAACACCCUUCGCCGCUUCCAGCGGGCCAAGAGAGGGGGUACGGGUGGACGACAACGAAUGAUGUGACCUAAUGUGAAAAAAAAACCAACACUAGACCCAUCUAAUCUUUCAUCAGAUAAGAGAUCUUAUGGAGGAAAAGUGAAGCUAGCUCACCGUCGAGGAAGUACUUUAGUCGGUGGUGUCUACCAUUGCGGAGGAGGAGGAUGUGAGGGAGGGCGGCGACACUAUUUUGCAGAAACAAACUAUGAAAAGUGAAUAUAANNNNNNNNNNNNNNNNNNNNNNNNNNNNNNNNNNNNNNNNNNNNNNNNNNNNNNNNNNNNNNNNNNNNNNNNNNNNNNNNNNNNNNNNNNNNNNNNNNNNNNNNNNNNNNNNNNNNNNNNNNNNNNNNNNNNNNNNNNNNNNNNNNNNNNNNNNNNNNNNNNNNNNNNNNNNNNNNNNNNNNNNNNNNNNNNNNNNNNNNNNNNNNNNNNNNNNNNNNNNNNNNNNNNNNNNNNNNNNNNNNNNNNNNNNNNNNNNNNNNNNNNNNNNNNNNNNNNNNNNNNNNNNNNNNNNUUUCACAUGACAAUGGAUAUAUUAUUCUCGGGUUCUAAUUUGGAAAUUUUUACUUACACAUUCUGAAAAAACGAGAAAAUUAUACAUGCAUAAUGUGCAAAACUAUGUGUCAUAAAAUAUUCUCAUUUUAUGGGCCACGUAAUAUGUUGUGCUCGCAUAGGUGCUACAGUAGUCAUUUUCUCUUCUAUUUUUAGUAUUGUUCAUAGAUUGAAAAGUUAGCACAAAUUUUGCACUAACUCUUGUUGUGCUCUCCUUCUGUGUAGUCUUUAUAAAAGUUUAGCUCUUUUGCAUUUGAACAUCUGUUCAAAUAGCCAUUCGAAAGUUCAAGAGAUUGUGCCAAAAAGGACAUUUUGUUUUCUUUCUGAAAUGGAGGCAAGGCUCUCCCUCGUUCCAAUAAAUAACAUGGAAAAUUCAGUUUGUGUCGCUACCGAAUUUGGAUAUUUGAUGACUGCCACUCAAACUUCAUGAAUUUAGUAUGUGCCACUAUUUCUUGCAUAUAAAUUAGUUGCAUGUCCAUGUUCGUUGUCUACGUGAAUUCCAGUCUUUUUUGACCAGUUUGCUCCUCUCUGGGCCCACCACUUCGCCACGUAAAUCGUGACGACAAGGAGACUCGUUUGACCACUUCAGAUGUGGGACCCACCACUUUGCCACUUCGACCACGGCAAAAAGGAAACUCGUUUGACCAUUCCUCCCUAUGUGGGGCCUAUCAUUGGGUGGACAACACACACAUAAUUUCUACUUUGCCUGAUUCUGACGCCACGCUGAUGUAUGCAUGUAGCCUCAUGCAUUGAAUUCUAGCGACCGUCAUGUUUUCCACUUGCGUUGCUUUACAUAACAACCGCCUAUAACACUAAAAAAUGGCACAUCCAUGAUGAUGCAUGUUUUUCACAGUGGGUCAAGUUUUCUGUUAGCCAUGUACAUCUCUGACAGUUUUAUGACAGAAUCAAGAUAGUCAUACAUGUGAUGUCGAACAUGUAUCCCAUUACAAUAAUCACUUUAUCAUCAUGGAAGUGUCCAAUUCCAUGAUGAUGAAUGACACAUUAAGGAAGUGUUUUCGUCAAAGGUAACCGACAUGUGGCAGCCAUCAUAACGAGUCACUAUUCAGCUAUCGGGUGUGGGUUUCGGAUCCGAUACCAUUAAUAGCCUUGAUCUAUGACGACGUUCUACAUGUCGGCUUCUCUUUCACCAAAGAAUCCAUGUGUUAGCUCUUCCUUUUGACAAGUGUCGCCCACCCAACGGACGAUAUGCGUCUAUGAAACGACGAUACGUGGCACAACCCAAUAGUGGCACAUUUAGUAAAAAAAAGGUCGGCCCAAUCAAAGGCCUGCUUAAGGCCCACUUGACUUAGUCAAAAGUUGAUGGGUUGGCCCAUUAUAGGCAUGUCAAUGGCUUGCUUGCAUAUAGCCCAUUUACGGCCCGAGUUCCAUGUCCCGUUAGGACAUGUCUGGAUUCAUCCCAUUACGGGCAUGUGGGCCAAACAAUACGGUUCCAAUCCAUUGAUAGUUCGGGCCCAUGUCUUGCCCGUGACAUCUUUCGGCCCAUAUGUGGCUAGUUGUAUCUCUCAGCCUUUAAUAGCUUGUGGUGCUUCUGGCCCAUCUAGAACCCGUAAUAGCUUUCGAUCCAUUAACGACCAUACUCUGUUUUGGUUGUUUCCGGCCUGUGGUAUCUUUUGGCCCGUUAAGAGCCCGUGUCAUCUUGGGCCCAUUCCCGACCCUUGAGAACUUCUGGCGCAUUAACGGCCUAUUCUGCCAUUAGGCAUUCUCAGCACAUGGUUCCAUUCAGACCAUUAAAGGCCCAUGCAGCCUUUGGGUCAUUUUCAUGCAUGUAGUGAUUUUCGGCCUCUUAUGCCUAUGGUUUGUAUUAAUCAUGUGUUGUCUCUCAGUCUGUUAUGUGUUUUGGCCCGUGUUAUGUUUUGUGCCUUCUGAUGUAUGAGGUUAUUCGACCCAUUUGUGGCCCAUGGUUACUACGGCACAUAUGUGGCACAUGGUUACUAUGACCCGUAUAUGGCCCAUGGUUAUUACGACUCGUUAAUGGCUGACGGAACGUUCGACCAUUAGCGGACCUUGGACUAAACUGCAGUAAAUAAACAAAUAAAUAAACAAGCACUUUACGCUAGACUAAUACAAUUAUUACACAUAUUACAUCCACUGGGCAUCACAGUUUGCCACUAGUGCAAAUAAACGCAACAACAAAACGACGGAUUACAUACACUAGGCAUCAAAGUUGGCCACAAGUGUAAAUAAAUGCGGCAACAAAAUAAGUCUAAAACUGAAACCACUUCAAGACAACUUAAGAAAUGUUAUCGUGGGAAUCCACUGAUACGUCUCCAACGUAUCUAUAAUUUAUGAAAUAUUCAUGCCAUGUUUGCAUGGAACUAACCGGGACUGACAUUGUUUUCAGCAGAACUACCGUGGUGUUCUUUUUUUGUGCAGAAAUAAAAUUUCUCCAUAUGCAACGAAACUUUUUGACAAUUUUUUUUGGAACAAAAGAGGCACUAGAAGCUUCGUGGGAGGACCAGAAGGUGAAGGAGGUGAGCACAAGACACUUGGGCGCGCUAGGAGGCCCAGGCGUGCCCAGGUGGGUUGUGCCCACCUCGAGGCCCAUCUUCACGUGAUUCCAACGCUAAAAAAAAUCCUAUAUAUAGAGAAACCCCUAGAAAUAACUCUAGAUCAGAAGUUCCGGCGCCGCAACCCUCUGUAGGCAUGAAAAACCAAUCUAGACCCCGUUCCAACACCCUGCUGGAGGGGGAAAUCAUCACCGGUGGCCAUCUUCAUCAUCCCGGCGGCCACCAUGAUGAGGAGGGAGUAGUCCACCCUCGGGGCUGAGGGUUUGUACCAGUAGCUAUGUGUUUAAUCUCUCUCUCUCUCUCUCUCUCUCUCUCUCUCUCUCUCUCUCUCUCUUUCUCUCGUGUUCUUGAGAUGUCACGAUCUUGAUGUAUCGCGGGUUUUGUUAAUAUAGUUGGAUCAUAUGGUGUUUUCCCCUCUCUAUCUUGUGAUGAAUUGACUUUUUCCUUUGAGAUUUCAUUUUAUCGGAUUGAAUACUUUUAUGGAUUUGAGAACACUUAAUGUAUGUCUUGCUAUGAAUACCCGUGGUGACAACGGGGUAUUGAUGUCUACUACGCAACCUUCUCCUUGUAGACGUUGUUGGGCCUCCAAGUGUAGAGGUUUGUAGGACAGUAGCAAAUUUCCCUCAACUGGAUGACCUAAGGUUUAUCAAUCCGUGGGAGGCGUAGGAUGAAGAUGGUCUCUCUCAACCAAAUAACAAAGAGUCUCUUGUGUCCCCAACACAUCCAAUACAAUGGUAAAUUGUAUAGGCGCACUUGUUCGACGAAGAGAUGGUGAUACAAGUGCAAUAUGGAUGGUAGAUAAAGGUUUUCGUAAUCUGAAAAUAUAAAAACAGCAAGGUAGCAAGUGGUAAAAGUGAGCGUAAACGGUAUUGCAAUGCUAGGAAACAAGGCCUAGGGUUCAUACUUUCACUAGUGCAAGUUCUCUCAACAAUAAUAACAUAAUUGGAUCAUAUAACUAUCCCUCAACAUGCAAUAAAGAGUCACUCCAAAGUCACUAAUAGCGGAGAACAAACGAAGAGAUUAUUGUAGGGUACGAAAACACCUCAAAGUUAUCCUUUCUGAUCAAUCUAUUCAAGAGUCCGUAGUAAAAUAACACGAAGCUAUUCUUUCCGUUUGAUCUAUCAUAGAGUUCGUACUAGAAUAACACCUUAAGACACAAAUCAACUAAAACCCUAAUGUCACCUAGAUACUCGAAUGUCACCUCAAUUAUCCGUGGGUAUGAUUAUACGAUAUGCAUCACACAAUCUCAGAUUCAUGUAUUCAACCAACACAAAGAACUUCAAAGAGUGCCCCAAAGUUUCUAUCGAAGAGUCAAGAUGAAAACGUGUGCCAACCCCUAUGCAUAGAUUCCCAAGCUCACAAAACCCGCAAGUUGAUCACCAAAACAUACAUCAUGUGAAUCAAUAGAAUACCCCAUUGUCACCACGGGUAUCCCACGCACGACAUACAUCAAGUGUUCUCAAAUCCUUAUAAACUCAAUUAGAUAAGAUAACUUCAAAGGGAAAACUCAAUCCAUUACAAGAGAGUAGAGGGGGAGAAACAUCAUAAGAUCCAACUAUAUAGCAAAGCUCGCGAUACAUCAAGAUCGUGCCGAAUCAAGAACACGAGAGAGAGAGAGAGAGAGAGAGAGAGAUCAAACACAUAGCUACUGGUACAUACCCUCAGCCCCGAGGGUGAACUACUCCCUCCUCAUCAUGGAGAGCACCGGGAUGAUGAAGAUGGCCACCGGUGAGGGAUCCCCCCUCCGGCAGGGUGCCGGAACAGGGCCCCGAUUGGUUUUUGGUGGCUCCAGAGGCUUGCGGCGGCGGAACUCCCGAUCUACUUUAUUUUCUAGAGGUUUCUGUAUUUAUAGGAAUUUUUGGCGUAGGUCACACGUCAGGGGGUCUCCGAGUCGUCCACGAGAUAGGGGCGCGCCAAGGGGGGUAGGGCGUGCCCUCCACCCUCGUGGACGGCCCGGGACUCUUUUGGCCCAACUCUUUUACUCCCGGGGCUUCUUUUGGUCCAUAAAAAAUCAUCAAAAAUUGGCACGUCAAUUGGACUCCGUUUGGUAUUCCUUUUCUGCGAUACUCAAAAACAAGGAAAAAACAGAAACUGGCACUGGGCUCUAGGUUAAUAGGUUAGUCCCAAAAAUCAUAUAAAAUAGCAUAUAAAUGCAUAUAAAACAUCCUAGAUGGAUAAUAUAAUAGCAUGGAACAAUCAAAAAUUAUAGAUACGUUGGAGACGUAUCAGCAUCCCCAAGCUUAGUUCCUGCUCGUCCUCGAGUAGGUAAAUGAUAAAAACAGAAUUUUUGAUGUGGGAUGCUACCUAACAUAUUUAUCAAGGUAAUCUUCUUUAUUGUGGCAAGAAUAUUCAGAUCCAUAAGAUUCAAGACAAAAGUUUAAUAUUGACAUAAAAAUAAUAAUACUUCAAGCAUACUAACCAAGCAAUUAUGUCCUCUCCAAAUAACAUAGCCAAAGAAUGCUCAUCCCUACAAAAUCAUAUAGUUUGGCCAUGCUCCAUCUUCGUCACACAAAAUGCUCUCAUCAUGCACAACCCCGAUGACAAGCCAAGAAAUUGUUUCAUACUUUAGUAUUCUCAAACUUUUUUAAACUUUCACGCAAUACAUGAGCGUGAGCCAUGGACAUAGCACUAUGGGUGGAAUAGAAUAUGAUGAUGGAGGUUGUGUGGAGAAGACAAAAAAAAGGAAAAGUCUCACAUCGACGCGACUAAUCAAUGGGCUAUGGAGAUGCCCAUCAACUAAGGUCAAUGCGAGGAGUAGGGAUUGCCAUGCAACAGAUGCACUAGAGCUAUAAAUGUAUGAAAGCUCAACAAAAGAAACUAAGUGGGUGUGCAUCCAACUUGCUUGCUCAUGAACACCUAAGGCAUUUGAGGAAGCCCAUUGUUGGACUAUACAAGCCAAGUUCUAUAAUGAAAAAUUCACACUAGUAUAUGAAAGUGACAAUAUAAGAGACUCUCUAUCAUGAAGAUCAUGGUGCUACUUUGAAGCACAAGUGUGGAAAAAGGAUAGUAGCAUUGUCCCCUUUUUUCUUUUUUUUGGGCCUUCCUUUUUUUAUUUGGCCUUUCUUUUUUAUUUUUUUAUUGGUCUUUCCUUUUUUUAUUUGGCCUUUCUCUUUUUUUUUCAUGGGACAAUGCUCUAUUAAUGAUGAUCAUCACACUUCUAUUUAUUUACAACUCAAUGAUUACAACUCGAUACUAGAACAAAAUAUGACUCUAUAUAAGUGCCUCCGGCGGUGUACCGGGAUGGGCAAUGAAUCAAGAGUGACAUGUAUGAAAAAUUAUGCAUGGUGGCCUUGCCACAAAUACGAUGUCAACUACAUGAUCAUGCAAGGCAAUAUGACAAUGAUGAAGCGUGUCAUAAUAAAUGGAACGAUGGAAAGUUGCAUGGCAAUAUAUCUCGGAAUGGCUCUGGAAAUGCCAUAAUAGGUAGGUAUGGUGGCUGUUUUGAGGAAGAUAUAAGGAGGCUUAUGUGUGAUAGAGCGUAUCAUAUCACGGGGUUUGGAUGCACCGGCGAAGUUUGCACCAACUCUCGAGGUGAGAAAGGGCAAUGCACGGUACCGAAGAGGCUAGCAAUGAUGGAAGGGUGAGAGUGCGUAUAAUCCAUGGACUCAACAUUAGUCAUAAAGAACUCACAUACUUAUUGGAAAAAUCUACAAGUCAUCAAAACCAAGCACUACACGCAUGCUCCUAGGGGGAUAGAUUGGUAGGAAAAGACCAUCGCUCGUCCCCGACCGCCACUCAUAAGGAGGACAAUCAAGGAAACACCUGAUGCUUCAAAUUUGUUACACAACAGUUACCAUACGUGCAUGCAACGGGACUUGCAAACUCCAACACAAGUAUUUCUCAAAUUCAAAAUUGCUCAACUAGCACGACUCUAAUAUUACCAUCUUCAUAUCUCAAAACAAUCAUCCAGUAUCAAACUUCUCAUAGUAUUCAAUGCACUCUAUAUGAAAGUUUUUAUUAUACCCAUCUUGGAUGCCUAUCAUAUUAGGACUAGUUUCAUAACCAAAGCAAAUUACCAUGAUUUUUAGGACUAUCAAAAUAAUAUAAGUGAAGCAUGAGAGUUCAUCUAUUUCUUCAAAAUAAAACCACCGCCAUGCUCUAAAAGGAUAUAAGUGAAGCACUAGAGCAAAUGACAAACUACUCCGAAAGAUAUAAGUGAAGAUCAAUGAGUAGUCGAAUACUUAUGCAACUAUGUGAAGACUCUCUAACAUUUAAGAAUUUCAGAUCUUGGGAUAUUAUUCAAACAGCAAGUAAAACAAAAGAAAAUGAAAUGACACUCCAAGCAAAACACAUAUCAUGUGGUAAUAAAAAUAUAGCUCCAAGUAAAGUUACCGAUGAACGAAGCCGAAAGAGGGGAUGCCUUCCGGGGCAUCCCCAAGCUUAGGCUCUUGGUUGUCCUUGAAUAUUACCUUGGGGUUCCUUGAGCAUCCCCAAGCUUAGGCUCUUGCCUCUCCUUAUUCCGUAGUCCAUCGAAUCUUUACCCAAAACUUGAAAACUUCACAACACAAAACUUAACAGAAAACUCAUAAGCUCCAUUAGUAUAAGAAAAUAAAUCACCACUUAGGUACUGUUGUGAACUCAUUCUAAAUUCAUAUUGGUGUAAUAUCUACUGUAUUCUAACUUCUCUAUGGUUCAUACCCUCCGAUACUACUCAUAGAUUCAUCAAAAUAAGCAAACAACACAAUGAAAACAGAAUCUGUCAAAAACAGAACAGUCUGUAGCAAUCUGACUUGUUCGAAUACUUCUGUAACUCCAAAAAUUCUGAAAUAAAUUGGUGGACGUGAGGAAUUUGUCUAUUAAUCAUAUGCAAAAAUAAUCAACCUAAAAUCACUCUCCAGUAAAAAAUGGCAGCUAAUCUCGUGAGCGCUAAAGUUUCUGUUUUUUACAGCAAGAUCACAAAGACUUCACCCAAGUCUUCCCAAAGGUUCUACUUGGCACAAACACUAAUUAAAAGAUAAAACCACAUCUAACCAUAGGCUGGAUGAAUUUUUUAUUACUAAACAGAAACAAAAAGCAAGGAACAAAAAUAAAAAUUGGGUUGCCUCCCAACAAGCGCUAACGUUUAACGCCCCUAGCUAGGCAUGAUGAUUUCAAUGAUGCUCACAUAAAAGAUAAGAAUUGAAACAUAAAGAGAGCAUCAUGAAGAAUAUGAGUAGCACAUUUAAGUCUAACCCACUUCCUAUGCAUAGGGAUUUUGUGAGCAAACAACUUAUGGGAACAAUAAUCAACUAGCAUAGGAAGGCAAAACAAGCAUAACUUCAAGAUUUUCAACACAUAGAGAGGAAACUUGAUAUUAUUGCAAUUCCUACAAGCAUAUAUUCCUCCCUCAUAAUAAUUUUCAGUAGCAUCAUGAAUGAAUUCAACAAUGUAACCAUCACAUAAAGCAUUCUUUUCAUGAUCUACAAGCAUAUAAAUUUUAUUACUCUCCACAUAAGCAAAAUUCUUCUCAUUCGGAAUAGUGGGAGCAAACUCAACAAAAUAACUAUCAUGUGAAGCAUAAUCCAAUUGAAAAUUAAAAUCAUGAUGACAAGUUUCAUGGUUAUCUUUAUUCUUUAUAGCAUACGUGUCAUCACAAUAAUCAUCAUAAAUAGGAGGCAUGCUUUCAUCAUAAUAAAUUUGCUCAUCAAAACUUGGGGGACUAAACAUAUCAUCUUCAUCAAACAUAGCAUCCCCAAGCUUGUGGCUUUGCAUAUCAUUAGCAUCAUGGGUAUUCAAAGAAUUUAUACUAACAACAUUGCAAUCAUGCUCAUCAUUCACAUAUUUUAUGCCAAGCAUUCUAUGUAAUCUUCUUCUAGUACUUGAGCACAAUUUUCCUUCCCAUCAUUUUCACGAAAGACAUUAAAAAGAUGAAACAUAUGAGGCAACCUUAAUUCCAUUUUUUAAUUUUCUUUUAUAGACUAAACUAGUGAUAAAACAAGAAACGAAAAGAUUCGAUUGCAAGAUCUAAAGAUAUACCUUCAAGCACUCACCUCCCCAGCAACGGCGCCAGAAAAGAGCUUGAUGUCUACUCUGCAACCUUCUUCUUGUAGACGUUGUUGGGCCUCCAAGUGCAGAGGUUUGUAGGACAGUAGCAAAUUUCCCUCAAGUGGAUGACCUAAGGUUUAUCAAUCCAUGGGAAUCAUAGGAUGAAGAUGGUCUCUCUCAAACAACCCUGCAACCAAAUAACAAAGAGUCUCUUGUGUCCCCAACACACCCAAUACAAUGGUAAAUUAUAUAGGCGCACUAGUUCGGCGAAGAGAUGGUGAUACAAGUGCAAUAUGGAUGGUAGAUAAAUGUUUUUGUAAUCUGCAAAUAUAAAAUCAGCAAGGUAGCAAGUGGUAAAAGUGAGCGUAAACGGUAUUGCAAUGCUAGGAAACAAGGCCUAGGGUUCAUACUUUCACUAGUGCAAGUUCUCUCAACAAUAAUAACAUAAUUGCAUCAUAUAACUAUCCCUCAACAUGCAAUAAAGAGUCACUCCAAAGUCACUAAUAGCGGAGAACAAACGAAGAGAUUAUUGUAGGGUAUGAAACCACCUCAAAGUUAUCCUUCCUGAUCGAUCUAUUCAAGAGUCCGUAGUAAAAUAACACGAAGCUAUUCUUUCCGUUCGAUCUAUCAUAGAGUUCAUACUAGAAUAACACCUUAAGACACAAAUCAACCAAAACCCUAAUGUCACCUAGAUACUCCAAUGUCACCUCAAGUAUCCGUGGGUAUGAUUAUACGAUAUGCAUCACACAAUCUCAGAUUCACCUAUUCAGCCAACACAAAGAACUUCAAAGAGUGCCCCAAACUUUCUACCGGAGAGUCAAGACGAAAACGUGUGCCAACCCCUAUGCAUAGAUUCCCAAGCUCACAAAACCCGCAAGUUGAUCACCAAAACAUACAUCAUGUGAAUCAAUAGAAUACCCCAUUGUCACCACGGGUAUCCCACGCACGACAUACAUCAAGUGUUCUCAAAUCCUUAUAAACUCAAUUAGAUAAGAUAACUUCAAAGGGAAAACUCAAUCCAUUACAAGAGAGUAGAGGGGGAGAAACAUCAUAAGAUCCAACUAUAAUAGCAAAGCUCGCGAUACAUCAAGAUUGUGCUGAAUCAAGAACACGAGAGAGAGAGAUCAAACACAUAGCUACUGGUACAUACCCUCAGCCCCGAGGGUGAACUACUCUCUCCUCGUCAUUGAGAGCGCCGGGAUGAUGAAGAUGGCCACCGGUGAGGGACCCCCCCUCCGGCAGGGUGCCGGAACAGGGCCCCGAUUGGUUUUUUGUGGCUACAGAGGCUUGCGGCGGCGGAACUCCCGAUCUAGGUUAUUUUCUGGAGGUUUCUAUAUUUAUAGGAAUUUUUGGUGNNNNNNNNNNNNNNNNNNNNNNNNNNNNNNNNNNNNNNNNNNNNNNNNNNNNNNNNNNNNNNNNNNNNNNNNNNNNNNNNNNNNNNNNNNNNNNNNNNNNNNNNNNNNNNNNNNNNNNNNNNNNNNNNNNNNNNNNNNNNNNNNNNNNNNNNNNNNNNNNNNNNNNNNNNNNNNNNNNNNNNNNNNNNNNNNNNNNNNNNNNNNNNNNNNNNNNNNNNNNNNNNNNNNNNNNNNNNNNNNNNNNUUUCCCUUGAAGAGGAAAGGGUUAUGCAGUAAAGUAGCGUAAGUAUUUCCCUCAGUUUUUAAGAACCAAGGUACCAAUCCAGUAGGAGAUCACGCACGAGUCCCUCACACCUACACAAACAAAUAAGAACGUCGCAACCAAUGCGAUAAAGGGGUUGUCAAUCCCUCAACGGUCACUUACGAGAGUGAGAUAUGAUAGAUAUGAUAAGAUAAUAUUUUUGGUAUUUUUAUGAUAAAGAGAAAUAAAGAUGCAAAGUAAAAUGAAAGGCAAUAGAAAUAACUAAGUGUUGGAAGAUUAAUAUUAUGGAAAAUAGAUCCGGGGGCCAUAGGUUUCACUAGUGGCUUCUCUCAAGAGCAUAAGUAUUACUGUGGGUAAACAAAUUACUGUCGAGCAAUUGGUAGAAUUGAGCAUAGUUAUAAGAAUAUCUAGGUAUGAUCAUGUAUAUAGGCAUCACGUCCGCGACAAGUAGACCGAAACGAUUCUGCAUCUACUAAUAUUACUCCACACAUCGACCGCUAUCCAGCAUGCAUCUAGAGUAUUAAGUUCAUAAGAACAGAGUAAUGCUUUAAGUAAGGUGACAUGAUGUAGAGGGAUAAACUCAUGCAAUAUGAUAUAAACCCCAUCUUUUUAUCCUCGAUGGCAACAAUACAAUACGUGUCGUUUCCCUUACUAUCACUGGGAUCGAGCACCACAAGAUUGAACCCAAAGCUAAGCACUUCUCCCAUUGCAAGAAAGAUCAAUCUAGUAGGCCAAACCAAACUGAUAAUUCGAAGAGACUUGCAAAGAUAACCAAUCAUACAUAAAAUAAUUCAGAGGAGAUUCAAAUAUUGUUCAUAGAUAAUCUUGUUCAUAAACCCACAAUUCAUCGGAUCUCGACAAACACACCACAAAAGAAGAUUACAUCGAAUAGAUCUCCAAGAAGAUCGAGGAGAACUUUGUAUUGAGAUCCAAAGAGAGAGAAGAAGCCAUCUAGCUAAUAACUAUGGACCCGAAGGUCUGAGGUAAACUACUCACACAUCAUCGGAGAGGCUAUGGUGUUGAUGUAGAAGCCCUCCGUGAUCAAUGCCCCCUCCGGCGGAGCACCAGAAAAGGCCCCAAGAUGGGAUCUCACGGGUACAGAAGGUUGCGGCAGUGGAAAUAGGUUUUUGGCUCCGUAUCUCAUAGUUUGGGGGGUACGUAGGUAUAUAUAGGAGGAAGAAGUACGUCGGUGGAGCAACAUNNNNNNNNNNNNNNNNNNNNNNNNNNNNNNNNNNNNNNNNNNNNNNNNNNNNNNNNNNNNNNNNNNNNNNNNNNNNNNNNNNNNNNNNNNNNNNNNNNNNNNNNNNNNNNNNNNNNNNNNNNNNNNNNNNNNNNNNNNNNNNNNNNNNNNNNNNNNNNNNNNNNNNNNNNNNNNNNNNNNNNNNNNNNNNNNNNNNNNNNNNNNNNNNNNNNNNNGCGGGGGUAGGCGCGCCCCCCUACCUCGUGCUCUCCACGUUGAUUGCUUUGCGUAGACUCCAAGUCCUCUGGAUCACGUUUGUUCCGAAAAUCACGUUCCCGAAGGUUUCAUUCCGUUUGGACUCCGUUUGAUAUUCUUUUUCUGUGAAACACUGAAAUAGGCCAAAAACAGCAAUUCGGGCUGGGCCUCCGGUUAAUAGGUUAGUCUCAAAAAUAAUAUAAAAUUGUAUAAUAAAGCCCGUUAAACAUCCAAAACAGAAUAUAAUAUAGCAUGGAACAAUCAGAAAUUAUAGAUACGCUGGAGACGUAUCAAGCAUCCCCAAGCUUAAUUCCUGCUCGUCCUCGAGUAGGUAAAUGAUAAAAACAGAAUUUUUGAUGUGGAAUGCUACUUAGCAUAAUUUUCAAUGUAAUUCUCUUAUUUGUGGUAUGAAUAUUCAGAUCCGAAAGAUUCAAGAUAAAAGUUUAAUAUUGACAUAAAAAAUAAUAAUACUUCAAGCAUACUAACUAAGCAAUUAUGUUUUCUCAAAAUAACAUGGCCAAAGCAAGUUAUCCCUACAAAAUCAUAUAGUCUGGCUAUGCUCUAUCUUCACCACACAAAGUAUUUAAAUCAUGCACAACCCCGAUGACAAGCCAAGCAAUUGUUUCAUACUUUUGGUGUUCUCAAACUUUUUCAAUCUUCACGCAAUACAUGAGCGUGAGCCAUGGAUAUAGCACUAUAUAUGGAAUAGAAUGGUGGUUGUGGAGAAGACAAAAAAGGAGAAGAUAGUCUCACAUCAACUAGGUGUAUCAACGAGCUAUGGAGAUGCCCAUCAAUAGAUAUCAAUGUGAGUGAGUAGGGAUUGCCAUGCAACGGAUGCACUAGAGCUAUAAGUAUAUGAAAGCUCAACAAAAGGAACUAAGUGAGUGUGCAUCCAACUUGCUUGCUCACGAAGACCUAGGGCAUUUUGAGGAAGCCCAUCAUUGGAAUAUACAAGCCAAGUUCUAUAAUGAAAAAAUCCCACUAGUAUAUGAAAGUGAUAUCAUAGGAGACUCUCUAUCAUGAAGAUCAUGGUGCUACUUUGAAGCACAAGUGUGGUAAAAGGAUAGUAACAUUGUUCCUUCUCUCUUUUUCUCUCAUUUUUUGGGCCUUUUCUCCUUUUUUUGGGCCUUUUUUCGUCCGGAGCCUCAUCCCGACUUGUGGGGGAAUCAUAGUCUCCAUCAUCCUUUCCUCACUUGGUACAAUGCUCUAAUAAUGAUGAUCAUCAAACUUUUGUUUACUUACAACUCAAGAAUUACAACUCCAUACUUAGAACAAAAUAUGACUCUAUGUGAAUGCCUCCGGCGGUGUACCGGGAUAUGCAAUGAAUCAAGAGUGACAUGUAUGAAAGAAUUAUGAAUGGUGGCUUUGACACAAAUACGAUGUCAACUACAUGAUCAUGCGAAGCAAUAUGACAAUGAUGGAGCGUGUCAUAGUAAACGGAACGGUGGUAAGUUGCAUGGCAAUAUAUCUCGGAAUGGCUAUGGAAAUGCCAUCAUAGGUAGGUAUGGUGGCUGUUUUGAGGAAGGUAUGUGGUGGGUGUAUGAUACCGGCGAAAAGUGCACGGUAUUAGAGAGGCUAGCAAUGGUGGAAAGAUGAAAAGUGCGUAUAAUCCAUGGACUCAACAUUAGUCAUAAAGAACUCAUAUACUUAUUGCAAAAAUCUACAAGUUAUCAAAGCAAAGUAUUACACGCAUGCUCCUAGGGGGAUAGAUUGGUAGGAAAAGACCAUCGCUCGUCCCCGACCGCCACUCAUAAGACAAUCAAUAAAUAAAUCAUGCUCCGACUUCAUCACAUAAUGGUUCACCAUACGUGCAUGCUACGGGAAUCACAAACUUUAACACAAGUAUUCCUUAAAUCCACAACUACUCAACUAGCAUAACUAUAAUAUCACCAUCUUCAUAUCUCAAAACAAUUAUCAAGCAUCAAACUUCUCAUAGUAUUCAACACACUCAUAAGAAAUUUUUACUAAUCUUGGAUGCCUAUCACUUUAGGACUAAUUUCUCAAUUUAAGAAAAUUACCAUGCUGUUUUGUAGGACUCUCAAAAUAAUAUAAGUGAAACAUGAGAGAGCAAUAGUUUCUAUAAAACAAAUCCACCACCGUGCUCUAAAAAAAUAUAAGUGAAGCACUAGAGCAAAAACUAUAUGGCUCAAAAGAUAUAAGUGAAGCACAUAGAGUAUUCUAAUAAAUCCCGAAUCAUGUGUGUCUCUCUUCAAAUGUGAGUACAGCAAGGAUGAUUGUGGUAAACUAAAAAGCAAAGAAUCAAAUCAUACAAGAUGCUCCAAGCAAAACACAUAUCAUGUGGUGAAUAAAAAUAUAGCUCCAUGUAAAGUUACCGAUGGAAGAAGACGAAAGAGGGGAUGCCUUUCGGGGCAUCCCAAAGCUUUGGCUUUUAGGUUUCCUUAGAUUAUCUUGGGGUGCCAUGGGCAUCCCCAAGCUUAGUCUCUUGCCACUCCUUGUUCCAUAAUCCAUCAAUUUUUUUACCCAAAACUUGAAAACUUCACAACACAAAACUUAACAGAAAAUCUCGUGAGCUCCGUUAGCGAAAGAAAACAAAACACCACUUCAAGGUACUGUAAUGAACUCAUUAUUUAUUUAUAUUGGUGUUAAAACUACUGUAUUCCAACUUAUAUAUGGUUUAUAAACUAUUUUACUAGCCAUAGAUUCAUCAAAAUAAGCAAACAACACACGAAAAACAGAAUCUGUCAAAAACAGAACAGUCUGUAGUAAUCUGUAACUAACGGAAACUUCUGGAACUCAAAAACAUCUACCAAAAUAGGAAGACCUAUAAAAUUUGUUUAUUGAUCUACUGCAAUUGGAAUCAAUAUUUUAUCACGUUCUGGUGAUUUUUAACAAUUGUUUUCGUGAACAGAAAGUUUCUGGAAUUUUCAGCAAGAUCAAAUAACUAUCAUCCAAGAAGAUCCUAUAGGUUUAACUUGGCACAAACACUAAUUAAAACAUAAAAACAAAUCUAACCAGAGGCUAGAUCUAAUAUUUAUUCCUAAACAGAAGCAAAAAGCAAAAAACUAAAAUAAAAUUGGGUUGCCUCCCAACAAGCGCUUUUCUUUAAAGCCUUUUUAGCUAGGCAUUGAGAUUUCGAUGAUGCUCACAUGAAAGACAAGAAUUGAAGCGCAAAGAGAGCAUCAUGAAACACAUGACAAACACAUCUAAGUCUAACAUACUUCCUAUGCAUAGGCAUCUUAUAGGCAAACAAAUUAUUAUAGCAUGCAAAAACUAGCAUAUGCAAGGAAGCGGAAAGAAACAAUAGCAAUCUCAACAUAACGAGAGGUAAUUUAUUAUCAUGAAAAUUUCUACAACCAUAUUUUCCUCUCUCAUAAUAAUUACAUGUGUGAUCAUAAGCAAAUUCAACAAAAUAGCUAUCACAUAAAAUAUUUUCAACAUGAUCCACAUGCAUGCAAAGUUGACACUCUUCCAAAAUAGUGGGAUUAACAUUAACUAAAGUCAUGACCUCUCCAAACCCACUUUUAUCAAAAAUUCCAUAAGAUUGAACAUUCUCCAAAUAUGUGGGAUCUAAAGUUGACACUCUUCCAAACCCACUUUCAAUAUUAUUGCAAACACUAUUAUCAAUCUCAUAUUCAUCAUGGGGCUUUCAUAAAUUUUCAAGAUCAUAAGAAGAAUCACCCCAAUCAUGAUCAUUGCAACAAGUAGUAGACAUAGCAAAACUAGCAUCCCCAAGCUUAGGGUUUUGCAUAUCAUUAACACAAUUGACAUUAAUAGAAUUUAUGAUAACAUCAUUGCAAUCAUGCUUUUUAUUCAAAGAUCUAUUGUGAAUCACUUCAUAAAGCACUUCAUCACAAUUUUCAGAUUCACGAAUUUCAAGCAAAACCUCAUAAAGAUAAUCUAGUGCACUCAAAUCACUAGAAAUUGGUUCAUCAUAAUUGGAUCCCUUAAAAAGAUUAGCAAGGGGAUGAGGAUCCAUAAACAUUUAGCAAGCGAAGAUGCAAGCAAAAAGAAGGCACAUGGAAAAGGGCGAAUAAAACGGCAAAUGUGAAGUGGGGGAGAGGAAAACGAGAGGCAAAUGGCAAAUAAUGUAAUGCGAGAGAGUUAUUGAUGGGUACUUGGUAUGUCUUGACUUGUGCGUAGACUCCCCGGCAACGGCGCCAGAAAUCCUUCUUGCUACCUCUUGAGCACUGCGUUGGUUUUCCCUUGAAGAGGAAAGGGUGAUGCAGUAAAGUAGCGUAAGUAUUUCCCUCAGUUUUUGAGAACCAAGGUAUCAAUCCAGUAGGAGAUCAUGCACGAGUCCCUCACACCUACACAAACAAAUAAGAACCUCGCAACCAACGUGAUAAAGGGGUUGUCAAUCCCUCAAAGGUCACUUACGAGAGUGAGAUCUGAUAGAUAUGAUAAGAUAAUAUUUUUGGUAUUUUUAUGAUAAAGAGAAAUAAAGAUGCAAAGUAAAAUAAAAGGCAAUAGAAAUAACUAAGUGUUGGAAGAUUAAUAUGAUGGAAAAUAGACCCCGGGGCCAUAGGUUUCACUAGUGGCUUCUCUCAAGAGCAUAAGUAUUAUGAGAAUAUCUAGGUAUGAUCAUGUAUAUAGGCAUCACGUCCGCGACAAGUAGACCGAAACGAUUCUGCAUCUACUACUAUUACUCCACACAUCGACCGCUAUCCAGCAUGCAUCUAGAGUAUUAAGUUCAUAAGAACAGAGUAAUGCUUUAAGUAAGAUGACAUGAUGUAGAGGGAUAAACUCAUGCAAUAUGAUAUAAACCCCAUCUUUUUAUCCUUGGUGGCAACAAUACAAUACGUGUCGUUUCCCUUACUGUCACUGGGAUCGAGCACCGCAAGAUUGAACCCAAAGCUAAGCACUUCUCCCAUUGCAAGAAAGAUCAAUCUAGUAGGCCAAACCAAACUGAUAAUUCAAAGAGACUUGCAAAAAUAACCAAUCAUACAUCAAAGAAUUCAGAGUAGAUUCAAAUAUUGUUCAUAGAUAAUCUUGAUCAUAAACACACAAUUCAUCGGAUCUCGACAAACACACCGCAAAAGAAGAUUACAUCGAAUAGAUCACCAAGAAGAUCGAGGAGAACUUUGUAUUGAGAUCCAAAGAGAGAGAAGAAGCGAUCUAGCUAAUAACUGUGGACUCGAAGGUCUGAGGUAAACUACUCACACAUCACCGAAGAGGCUAUGGUGUUGAUGUAGAAGCCCUCCGUGAUCAAUGCCCCCUCCGGCGGAGCGCCGGAAAAGGCCCCAAGAUGGGAUCUCACGGGUACAGAAGGUUGCGACGGUGGAAAUAGGUUUUUGGCUCCGUAUAUGAUAGUUUGGGGGUACGUAGGUAUAUAUAGGAGAAAGAAGUGCGUUGGUGGAGCAACGUGGGCACCACGAGGGUGGAGGGCGCGCCCCCUAGCUCGUGCUCUCCACGUUGAUUGCUUUGCGUAGACUCCAAGUCCUCUGGAUCACGUUUGUUCCGAAAAUCACGUUCCCGAAGGCUUCAUUCCGUUUGGACUCCGUUUGAUAUUCUUUUUCUGCGAAACACUGAAAUAGGCAAAAAACAGCAAUUCGGGCUGGGCCUCCGGUUAAUAGGUUAGUCCCAAAAAUAAUAUAAAAGUGUAUAAUAAAGCCUGUUAAACAUCCAAAAUAGAAUAUAAUAUAGCAUGGAACAAUCAAAAAUUAUAGAUACAUUGGAGACGUAUCAGUCUCCGAGUCGUCCACGAGAUAGGGGGCGCGCCAAGGGGGGUAGGGCGCGCCCUCCACUCUCGUGGACGGCCCGGGACUCUUCUGGCCCAACUCUUUUACUCUCGGGGCUUCUUUUUGUCCAUAAAAAAUCAUCAAAAAUUGGCACGUCAAUUGGACUCCGUUUGGUAUUCCUUUUCCGUGAUACUCUAAAACAAGGAAAAAACAGAAACUGGCACUGGGCUCUAGGUUAAUAGGCUACUCCCAAAAAUCAUAUAAAACAGCAUAUAAAUGCAUAUAAAACAUCCUAGAUGGAUAAUAUAAUAGCAUGGAACAAUCAAAAAUUAUAGAUAUGUUGGAGACGUAUCAGGUAUCAUAUUGAUUCACUUGAUAUUUGUUUUGGCACUCAACUCGCGAAUUCCCAAGGUGACAUUGGGGUAAUCUAUGCAUAGGGGUUCAUGCACGUUCUCAUCUUUGUUUCUCUGGUAGAAAUCUUGGGGCACUCUUUGAGGUUCUUUGUGUUGGAUUGAGUAUUAUGAAUCUGAAAUUGUUUGAUGCAUAUCGUAUAAUCAACUCAUGGAUACUCGCAGUGACAUUGGAGUAUCUAGGUGACAUUAGAGUUGGUUGAUGUGUAUCGUAUGGUGUUAUUUUAGUACGAACUCUUGGUUAGAUCGAUCGGAAAGAAUAUCUUGGUGUUAUUUUAGUACGAACUCUAGGAUAGAUUGAUCGGAAAGAAUAGCUUUGAGGUGGUUUCAUACCCUACAAACAAUUUCUUCUUAUGUUCUACGCUAGAUAGGAACUUUGGAGUGAUUCUUCAUCGCACGUUGAGGGAUGGUUAUAUGAUCCAAUUAUAUUAGCAUUGUUGAGAGAUUGCAGUAGCGAAAGUACGGACCCUAGGCCUCAUUUUCAAGCAUUGCAAUACUGUUUGUGCUCCGUUUUAUCAAUUGCUACCUUGCUAGUUUUUAUUGUUCCUAUUACAAAAAUCAAUAUCUACUAUCAUUACUGCACUUUUAUCACCAUCUCUUCGCCGAACUAGUGCACCUAUACAAUUUACCAUUGUAUUUGGUGUGUUGGGGACAUAAGAGACUUUUUAUUAUUUGGUUGUUGGGUUGUUUGAGAGAGACCAUCUUCAUCCUAUGCCUCCCACGGAUUGAUAAACCUUAGGUCAUCAACUUGAGGGAAAUUCGCUACUGUCCUACAGAACUCUGCGCUUGAAGGCCCAACACGAGUAUACAAGAACAAGUUGUGUAGUAAACAUCAAGCUCUUUUUUGGCGCCGUUGCCUGGGAGGUGAGUGCUUGAAGGUAUAUCUUUAGAUCUUGCAAUUGAAUCUUUUAGUUUCUUAUUUUAUCACUCGUUUGGUUUAUAAAAAGAAAACUACAAAAAAUGGGAUUGAGGUUGCAUCAUAUUAAUCAUCUUUAUAAUGUCUUUCGUGAAAAUGAUGGAAAGUAAAAUUGUGCUCAAUUGAUAGAAGAAUAAUACUAUAAAAUGUUUGACAAAAAAUCUUUGAAGGAUGAGCAUGAUUGCAAUGUUGUUGGUAUGAAUUCUUUGAAUAUCCAUGAUGCUAAUGAUAUGCAAAGCCAUAAGCUUGGGGAUGCUAUGGUUGAUGAAGAUGAUAUAUUUAGUCCCCCAAUUUUUGAUGAGAAUAUUUUCUGUGAUGAAAGCAUGCCUCCAAUUUAUGAUGAUUAUAUUGAUGAAAGUGGAUUGGGAGAGGUCAUGACUUUAUUUAAUGAUGACUCCACUAUCCUGGAAGAGGUUUCAGAUGAUUUUGAUAACAAAGUUGGUAUCUAUGAUGAUUAUUGUGAUGACACUUCGGAUAUAAAGAAUAAUGAUAACCAUGAAACUUGUCAUCAUGAUUUUAAUUUUCAAUCACAUGGUAGUUAUUUUGUUGAGUUUGCUCCCACUACUAUUGAUGAGAAUAAAUUUGCUUAUGUGGAGAGUAAUAAAAAUUUUUAUGCAUGUGGAUCAUGAAAAGAAUGCUUUAUGUGAUAGCUAUAUAUAUUGUUGAAUUCAUUCAUGAUGCUACUGAAAAUUAUUAUGAGAGAGGAACAUAUGCUUUUACAUAUUGCAAUAAUAUCAAGUUUCCUCUCUAUGUGUUGAAAAUCUUGAAGUUUUGCUUGUUUUGCCUUCCUAUGCUAGUUGAUUCUUGUUCCCAUAAGUUGUUUGAUCACAAAAUCCCUAUGAAUAGGAAGUGGGUUAGACUUCAUGCCUAGCUAAAAGCGCUUGUUGGGAGACAACCCAAUAUUUAUACCUACUAUUUUUGUGUGUUCACAUGAUUAAUCCACUAUAGUAAUCAUGUUUUAUAGCCUUUGUUUUAAUAAAGUACCAAGUAAGGCCUUUGGGAUAGUGUGGAUGAUAGUUGACUUGAUUCUGUGAAAAACAGAAACUUUUGCGCCCAGUAACAGAAUUGAUCUCCUCUCCUGGAACGUGAAAUUCUUGAAUUUUUUUACAGAUCAUUGAUAUACAAAUUUCCCACGUUGUCCUAAUUUUUCAGAAUUGUUUUAGUGGCAGAAGUAUGGUCGUUGUCCAGAUCAUUACAGACUGUUCUGUUUUUGACAGAUUUUGUUUUCAAUACAUAGUUUGCUUGUUUCCUAGUUUCUAUGGCUUAUAUUGCUCAAUAUAAAUUGUGGAAAUGAUAAGGUACAUUGGGAAUUGUGUGAGAACGAUUAUGAAUCUUGUCUUUGACAGUACCAAAGUGAAUGAUUUGUCUUUAUCAUACUAGCCUAUCCCACGAAGUUCCUUAAGUUUUGUGUGAUUGAAGUUUUCAAGUUUUGGGUGAGAUAUCGAUAUGAGGAGAAUAAGGAGUGGCAAGACCCUAAGCUUGGGGAUGAACAAGGCACCCAAGGUAAUAUUCAAGAAAUACCCAAACAACUAAGCUUGGGGAUGCCCCGGAAGGCAUCCCCUCUUUCGUCUCCAACAUUAUCGAUAACCUUACUUGGAGCUAUUUUUUCAUUCGUCACAUGAUAUGAGUUUUUCCUGGAGCGUCAUUUUAUUUUAUUUGUAUUUGCUUGCUGCUAUUUAUAAUAAUGUUUUGCAUCUUUCAUUUCAAUAAAAAUGUCAAGGAUAGCCUUUACCAUGCUUAUUUUGCAAGUCUAUAUGUUGCUGUUCUGAAAACAGAAAGUUUUCUAUCAUUGUCUGAAUUCUUCUGGAAAGUCAGAACAUGAUAAAAUCUUGAAUUUUUUACACAAUAUACUAUGAUAAAUUUUCUACAGUAUGGUAAUUUUCAGAAUUUUUGGAGUUAAAGGAGUAUGAAUCUUCUUGCAUCCUUUACAAACGGUCCUGUUUUGACAGAUUGCUGUUAUGUUUGCAUUGUUUGCAUAUGUUUGCUUGUUUAAUGAUUCUAUUUGAGGAUAGGGCUAUUAAAUAUGCAGAGGCAUUUAGUAUUCAAUUUUAAAUAAUAAUUGUAGUGAAUUGCUACAGUAGAGAAUGAUAAGGUUAUUGCAUUGAUUUAUACUAACUUAUCUCACGAGUUCUUGUUGAAUUUUGUGUGGAUGAAGUUUUUAAUAUUUAGGGAAACCGUGAUAUAAAAGGAAUUAAGGAGACACAAAAGCUCAAUCUUGAGGAUGCCCAAGGCAUCCCAAGAUAACAUUUCAAGAAGUCUCAAGCAUCUAAGGUUGGGGAUGCCCAGUAGGCAUCCCACCUUUCUUCAUUAAGAAUUAUCGGUUAGCCUCGGUUGAGCCUAAGUUUUUGCUUCUUCACAUGAUGUGUGCUAUCCUUGGAAUGUCAUUUUAUUUUAAUUUUGCUUGCUGUUUUAAUAAAAUACUUAGACCUAAAAGUUUUUAAAUAAGAAAGAGUCCUCAAUUAGCUAGCCUUUUACUUAACUACUCUCUUGAUCUUCACUUAUAUUUUUUGGAGUAGUUUGUCAUUUACUCUUGUGCUUCACUUAUAUCCUAUGAGUAAAUUGUUGAAUGAAUUGAAUAUCAUGAAGUUGAAACUAUAUGUUCAUAUCAUGCCUAGUAGUGGCUUCACAUCGGGUUUACAAAGUGAAAUCUAUUGAAGCUUGACAAUAACAAUAUUGGUCAUACAAGCAAUUCAUGAAUGAUUAGUAUAAGGAAGAGAACUUCCACAUACAAAUAUAUUAUCUUGGACAUCUUCUACGAUCGUGAAUACCCAUUAAUUAUUUUCAAACUUGAGAAAAUUAGUUGAACUUGGACAAGGAAGACAACAUAAUGAGUUAUGGUUGUGUAUAUUUGCAUAGAAGUUAUAUUGUUAUUGAUCCUCCAACAUGUGGUAUUUGCUUAGGAUCUUUUGCUAGCCAAAAAUUCGUACUAAGUAGAGAUACUACUUGUGCAUCCAAAAACCCUUAAACCCAGUUUCUUGCCAUGAGUGUCCACCAUACCUACCUAUGGAUUGAGUAGGAUCCUUCAAGUAAGUUGUCAUCGGUGCAAUAAAGCAAUAAAAAUUGCUCCUAAAUAUGUUUGAUCUUUUAUUGUAAGGGAAAAUUGAGCGUUGUACGAACUUGUGAUGGCAAAGUAAUAAAAGUGACGGACUGCAUAAUAAAGGUUUCUAUCAUAAGGGGCAAUAUAAUGUGACGUUACUUUGCAUUAGGAGCUUGGGCAUCCAAAUAAAAAGCGCAUGACAACCUCUGCUUCCCUCUACGAAGGGCCUAUCUUUUACUUUUCAGUAUUUACUUCUAUGCAAGAGUUAAUAGAAUCCAUUCUCAUUUCAACCUCAAUUGUUUUCUAGUUGGCAAGAAUCAUGUGGUGGGGAAAGAUCUAGGCACACAUGGCCAGUCAAAUAUAUUUGAUCAUGAUUUAUUAUUGUUGACAAUUAUCUCUAUGAUAAAUGAGUUGGGAGGUGAAGCAUUAAGCCCCUAUCUUUCUCUGUGUUCGAUGGAUGUCAUUUGUUCUAAAAAUAUGCUUUGAUUACUAGCAAUCAUAGAAGACUAUAUGAUGAUUGAGUAUGUGGAGCUCUUACUUAGACUCUGUUGAAUAAGUUGAAUUGCAAUUGUUUGGUGACUAAAAAUAUAGGUUGUUGAGUUUCAAGAGAAUUCAUUGUUUGAACCUUAAGAUGUGAAUUGAUUGCUACUUUAACAUGAGAAGUUUUAUGAGAAAGAAUUGUUGUUAUGAUGCUAGGAAAAGUGACUGAAAUUAGCAUUGAUCAAACUUAUGCACUAUUCUAGCAUUCACACUUCAUAAAUUAUUUCUUUUAUCAUUUACCUACUCGAGGACGAGUAGGAAUUAAGUUCGGGGAUGCUGAUACGUCUCCAAUGUAUCUAUAAUUUAUGAAGUAUUCAUGCCAUGUUUACAACAAUUUUAUAUGGUUUUUGUCGGGGGGAUGGACCCCGGGAAGACAACGGAACCCGGAUCCUCUUCAAAAACAACGGGGCUGGCACCGCCCCUCAAUACCGGCACGUGCUUGGCCGGGUCACUCGACCCGGCCAAGCCCCGCAAGCCGGCCAGACUAGCCGACCCGGCAAUACACGUCGACUCGGCCACAACAACUGGCGCAAGACAGCCGAACCCGGCAUGGCCGAAGCCUCCUCAACAAGCCGGCACCACCCAUGGCGUGCUACGCAAUCCAGCCGCGGGUCAACUCCCGUCCCAUCCAGGCCGUAUGAUGGGGACGAGACUUCAAUCAACGAUGACCGAGGCAACAGUGCCCCGUCCAUGCCUCUGGUCAGCAGGAACGUGGCAACAGUGCCCCUCACCUACCCGCUGACCAGGGCCGGCGUGGCUAUAGUGCCCCCGCCCUCACCGCUGACGACAGCAAGCGGCAACCUGACGGAGAGCACUGUACGCGACUCAACUCGGCCACGCCCUGACGAUCGACAAGACGGCGCACAGUCCCCCUAGGGUUGCGGGGCCCGCACCUAGGGGAACCCGACGAACCACAAGCCCUCAGCGGGAUCCAGCCCGGGUCCCCGGACAUCAACAACACGAACCCACCGACUUAUAACAUUACCAUUGUACCCCCGGGGGCUUGGACUAUAAAACCCCCGGGAGCCCACGAUCAUUCGAGAAGCGAGCAAGAGGACUAGCCACAAAACAACAACACCGGAGAGAAGGAACAACCCAAGCCUUGGCCAGCUUCCUUCCUCCUCCAUACAGCUCCAGGAGCAACGUUGUACUAUCGAUCAUCCAACUAUACUCGGCAGGACUAGGGGUAUUAUCUCUCCGGAGAGCCCCGAACCUGGGUAUGUCCGGCGUCCCGCGCCCGCUCAUGCCAACCUCGCCUCUGGAGUCCACCAGCGCCCUCGAGCCUCCUCCUCUCUUUAGCCAUCCCUUGGCAUCUGCCGUGCGCCCACCAUGACAGUUGGCGCCCACCGUGGGGAAGCUUGAGGAGCUGGCCGGGAGCAUGCUUCAGACGGGGCCCUUCUCCUACGCCGACGAGUCCGUCGCGCUGGCGGACGACGUCGUCGGCGCGCUUGUCGCCUCCUUCGCCGCGCUGCGCAUCUCCGAUGCGUUCGCGGCCGACGAAUACCCCAGCGAGGUGCUCAGCUACUCUGACUCUCCCCUCUCCCUCAGCGGCGGCGUUUCCGCGGAGGCAAUGGACGUCCAUGUGGAGGUCUUCGUCACCGGUGACGACGCCUCCUCCUCGUCGAGCAAGACGAGGAAGGCUGCCGAAGCCAGGGCCGCAGCGGAUCGGAUCGAGCCGUCCGAUCCGUUGCGCGCCACGAUGCAGAGCCUCCGCAUCCCAUCGGCACCAACGUCGACGCCACCAACGUCGCUAAGGCCCGAACCCAACUCGAGGAAAGGCGCCAGCAGAUGCUGGACCUAUCUGAGACGCUCGCCGCUCGACUGGAGCGCGACGCCGCCUACGGAUUCAUGCCCACCGCGGCCGAGCCAAGCCGGGUCGCCGAUGUGCGUGCCCGGGGAGGAGCGAUCGGCCGGGUCCUCGGCGCCGUCCCAACUGUCUACGAGACCCCAGCGAAGAACAUGCGUGCUGCCCAGGCAGCCGUAGUCGGCCUGGACCAGCUCACGGGUGAGGAGCUGAAAGAGCACAUCAGGCGGAUGCGUGAACUCCUCCACGCCGCCAACACCCGGCAGGACCGCCUCAACCAGCUCGCCAAGCCGGCGGGAUCCGGCUCCGCCCGCCUUGGCAGGCCCGGCGAACUUCUGGACACCGCUUCCUUGCCACCCGGCGAGGCGCACUCCGGCCGAGCCCGGACUCGGCGCGACCCGGCCGCUACAGCCGCCGGCGGAUUGGGCGACGAGCCUGUCCUAGAGAUCCAGCACGGACCCGGCCAGCAUGGCCGGCGUCUGGCUCCAACCGACCCGGCCCCCCGUGGCCUGGCCGCAAGUCGACUCGGCCCGCGCGCCAUCGAUGACGCCGACGCUCGCCACCGCCUCGAUCAGCUCGCUCGCUCCCUGGAGGUGGAGGAGAGUGGCGCUAUCAGGCUGGCGUGCUUCAGCCCGCGCAUCCGGGAGGAGCCCUUCCCCAAAGGAUUCAUGCUCCCCCGCGACACCCCCAAGUACAACGGGACGGUGAAGCCAGAAGACUGGCUCACCGAUUACACCACGGCCAUUGGCAUCACCGGUGGCAAUCGUCGUCUCGCCGUGCGCUACGCACCGCUCAUGCUCCAAGGGUUGGCCCGCACAUGGUUGAACAGCCUGCCGAUGGGCAGCAUCAACACGUGGGUGGAUUUCGAGGAAGCCUUCGUCCGCAACUUCACGGGGACCUACAAGCGACCCGGCCACCCUAGGCAGCUCGCCAUGUGCGUGCAAGGGCCUACGGAGACCGGUCGCGAGUACCUCGCACGCUGGACCGAGCUCCGGAACAGCUGCGAGUGCGUCCAUGAAGUCCUGGCGAUCCAGUACUUCGUCAGCGGGUGCCGAGACGGCACCCUCCUCAAGCACAAGCUCUUACACUCCGAGCCAGCCACCAUGGCCGCGCUCAUGGUGAUGGCGGACAAGUAUGCCAACGCUGACUCUGCCAUGAAGAUCCAGGUGGCGCUGGAUGAAGCUGGCAAGGCGAAGCCGGUUCCUCCUCCAAAGCCGGCCGGCGAAAGCAGCCGGCAGCAGCAUCACCAGAACAACAAGCGCAAGGCCGACCAGCCUGCGCCACGUCACGACAACCGGCUCGUCGCGGCCACCGAGCCCGCGGCGGACCCCACGGCAAAACGCCGGCAAACCGGCAAGACGGCAUGGCAACCCGCCAUGAGCUUCGAGCAGAUGCUCGACGCCCCCUGCAAGCACCUCAGUCGCGCAAGGCCCUCCAUGCACACGCUUUGGCAGUGCGCCAUCACCAAGCGCAUCAUGAGGGGCGACGUCCCGCCCCCUCCGGCUCCGGCUCCAGGCGCGGGACAGCCGCCUCCACCUCCACCGCCGCCUCCAGCUGGCGGCGCGAUGCGCGACGAUGCCUACCCGGACCAGAGCGCGGCCUACGUCGUCUUCACCAACCUCGGCGACGACAAGCGCAGCGAGCGCCUCCUUCGGUGGGAGGUGAACACCGUCGUCCCGGCCAAGCCGGAGUUCAUGCAUUGGUCGGAUCGCCCGAUCACCUGGACCCGGGAGGAUCACCCGGCAGUCAUGCCGAGCCCGGGUGGUUACGCCCUCGUCCUCAACCCCACCAUCAUCGCGCGGCGCACGUGCAAGUUCUCCCGAGUCCUCAUCGACGGCAGCAGCAGCAUCAACAUCCUCUACCGCGACACGAUGACCAAGCUCGGCCUCAAGGCCGAGGACCUGGAGCCAACCCGAACGAUCUUCCACGGCAUCGUGCCCGGCCUCUCCCGCUCCCCAUUGGCCGGGUCCGGCUAGAUGUCCUGUUCGGUGACAGCAGCCACUUCCUGCGCGAACCGAUCUGGUUCGAGGUGGUGGACCUGUCCAGGGCGUAUCACGCGUUGCUGGGCCAGCCUGCGCUCGCCAAGUUCAUGGCGGUUCCCCACUACGCGUACCUGAAGAUGAAGAUGCCGGGUCCCAAGGGCCUCAUCACCGUCACCGGCGAUUACCGCAAGUCCCCGGAGUACGCCCGAGAGGGCGCCAAGUUGGCCGAGUCACUUGUCAUUGCCGAGGAGCGGCGCCAGCUCGACCGGAUCGUCGCCCUGGCGGGCGAGGCCUCCGCCGCGUCGAUCCCGACCCCGGACCCGGCCCACGAGGCCACCUUCAAGCCCUCCAAGGAGACCAAGAAAGUGAAGCUCAACCCAGAAGACCCCAGCUGCAGCAAGUACGUUGUCAUAGGAGCCCGCCUCGACAGCAAAUAGGAAGGCGAGCUCGUCGACUUCCUCCAUGAGAAUCGGGAUAUCUUCGCAUGGACCCCCAAGGACAUGCCGGGUAUCCUGAGGAAGUACGCCGAGCACAAACUUCAUGUCCGCAAGGACGCCAAGCCUGUCCGUCAACCCCUACGACGAUUUUCUGAAGAGAAGAGAAGAACCAUUGGUGAAGAGGUCGCCAAGCUUUUGGCGGCCGGCUUCAUAAUGGAAGUGUUUCACCCCGAGUGGCUGGUCAAUCCAGUCCUCGUCCUGAAGAAGAACAAGACCUGGCGCAUGUGUAUCGAUUACACCAGCCUCAACAAGGCCUGUCCCAAGGAUCCGUUCGCCCUCCCGCGGAUCGACCAAGUCAUCGACUCGACUGCCGGGUGUGAGCUCCUGUCCUUCCUGGACGCUUACUCCAACUACCACCAGAUCAAGCUGGACCCGGCCGACGCCCUAAAGACGUCCUUCAUCACGCCCUUUGGGGCGUAUUGCUACAUCACCAUGUAGUUCGGCUUGAAGAACGCCGGCGCCACCUUCCAGCACUGCAUGCAUAAAUGCCUGCUGCCGCAACUCGGCCGCAAUAUCCAUGUAUACGUGGACGACAUCGUGGUGAAGACCAAGCAGCACCUCACGCUCCUCGACGAUUUGAAGGAAACAUUCGCCAACCUCCGCGAAUACAAGGUCAAGCUUAACCCGGAAAAAUGCGUCUUCGGCGUCCCGGCCGGAAAGCUACUCGGCUUCCUUGUCUCGGAACGCAGCAUUGAGGCGAACCCGGAGAAGAUCAAGGCCAUCGAGCGCGUGCGCAAGCCGGCUCGGCUGCGCGAUGUCCAGAAGUUCACCGGAUGCUUGGCCUCGGUCAGCCGGUUUCUAAGCCGGCUGGGCGAGAGGGCGUUACCCCUGUACCAGCUGAUGAAGAAGACGGGCCCGUUCGAAUGGAACGGCAAGGCAGACGAGGCCUCCCAAGACCUCAAGCACAUGCUCUCCACCGCACCAGUCCUGGCCGCGCCGACCGACAAGGAGCCGCUGUUGCUCUACAUAGCCGCGACCUCGCAGGCGAUCAGCACGGUGCUGGUGGUCGAGCGACCAGAGAAGGGCAAGAUCCAAGCCGUCCAGCGCCUACUCUACUACCUGAGCGAGGUGCUCUCCAACUCCAAGCAGAACUACCCGCACGACCAGAAGAUGUGUUACGGCGUGUACUUCGCCGCCAAGAAGCUGAAGCAGUAUUUCCAAGAGCACGUCGUCACCGUGGUCAGCACGGCGCCUAUCGGAGAAAUCAUCGGGUGCCGGGAUGCCUCUAGUCGGGUUGCAAAGUGGGCGAUCCAGCUAGCCGGCCACACCAUCCUCUACGAGCCCCGCACCGCGAUCAAGUCUCAAGUCCUGGCCGACUUCCUCGUCGAUUGGACCGAGACCCAGUACUUGUCGCCGCCUCCCGACUCGACGCAUUGGCGCAUGCACUUCGACGGGUCCAAAAUGUGACUCGGCUUGGGGGCUGGCAUCGUACUGUCGUCCCCGAAGGGCGACCGGCUCCGCUACGCGCUCCAGAUCCACUUUGCCGCCUCCAACAACGUCGCCGAGUACGAAGCCCUUGUGCACGGCCUCCGGCUUGCCAAGGAACUCGGCAUCCGGCGCAUCCUGCGCUACAGCGACUCGGACCUGGUGGUGCAGCAAUGCUCCGGCGAUUGGGAUGCCCGCGACUCCAACAUGGCAACCUACCGCUUCCUCGUCGAGAAGCUGUCCGGAUCCUUCGAGGGCUGCGAGUUCCUCCACGUCCCGCGCGCGGAGAACGAAGCAGCCGACACGCUCACCAAGAUCGCCUCGUCACGACAAGCCAUCCCGUCCGACGUCUCCCUCGAGCACCUGCGCGAGCCGUCCGUCAAGCCAUCGCCGGAUUCCGAGUCCAUCCACGUUCCAGAUGACCCGGCCGCACCUCAACCCGGCCCGGGAACUGCUGAACCCGGCCCGGGGGCUGCUCAGAUCGACCCGGCCACCAUCGUCCCGGACCCGGCCGUCGCCAUCCCCGACCCGAGGGCUGCUCAACCCGGCUCGGGGGCUGCCGACUCGGAACCUACCCUAGUGGCCGUCUUCGUCGUGGUUGCAGCUCCAUCUUGGGCCCUCCCAAUAUCAGAAUUUUUGGAGAACGGGGUUCUCCCCAUGGACGAGACCGAAGCUCGGCAAGUGUAGCGUCGGGCGUCCGCCUACAGCAUCAUCAACAACGAGCUCGUCAAGCGCAGCUCCACCGGCGUGUUCCAGCGCUGCGUCGAGCAGGAACGGGGCAUCGACAUACAUCAGGGCGAGUGUGGGCACCACGCCGCAUCACGAUCCCUGGUGGCCAAGGUGUUCCCCCACGGUUUCUACUGGCCCACGGCCCUCCAAGAUGUCGAGUCGCUCGUCCUCAAGUGUGAGGAAUGCCAGCGCUUCAGCAAACGCAGCCACCAGCCGGCGUCAGCACUCCGCACCAUACCGAUCGCCUGGCCCUUCGCGGUCUGGGGACUCGACAUGGUGGGACCCUUCAAAACCGCUCGAGGCGGCAUGACGCACUUGCUGGUGGCAGUGGACCAAUUCACCAAGUGGAUCGAGGCAAGACCAAUCAAGAAACUAGACGGGCCAACAGCCGUCCGGUUCAUCAAGGACAUAGCGGUGCGCUACGGCAUGCCGAACAGCAUCAUCACCGACAACGGCACCAACUUCGCCAAGGGCGCGCUUGAGCAAUACUGCUCCGUCUCCGGCAUCCGCCUCGACCUGGCCUCCGUUGCGCAUCCACAGUCCAACGGGCAGGUUGAGCGGGCCAAUGGACUCAUCCUGUCCGGCGUCAAGCCGCGACUCGUCGAGCCGCUCAUCCGCUCACCCGACAGCUGGAUUGACGAGUUGCCAGCCGUUCUCUGGAGUCUACGCACCAUGCCGAAUCGGUCGACCGGGUUCACCCCGUUCUUCCUCGUCUACGGAGCCGAAGCCAUCAUCCCGACCGACGUCGAGUUCGACUCGCCGCGCGUCGCGAUGUACACCGAAGCCGAAGCCAGAGAAGCCCGCAAAGAUGGCGUCGACCUGCUCAAAGAAGCACGCCUCCAGGCGCUUAGUCGCUCAGUCAUCUACCAGCAAGGCCUGAGGCACUACCAUAGCAAGAAGAUCAAGCCCCUCACGUCCUGCAAGGGCGACCUCGUCCUCCGACUCAUCCAAGAGCAGGCAGGCCAGCACAAACUGUCCCCUCCAUGGGAGGGCCCAUUCAUCGUGAGCAGGGCCUUGCGCGACCGCAACGCCUACUACCUCAUCGACGCACGCAAGUCAAGGAAGCGCAAGAAGGACACCGCCGGUGAAGAAACGACCCGGCCGUGGAAUGUGGAACUCCUCCGCCCGUUUUACAGUUAGCCGCACGAGCGUAUGUAUCAUCGCCUUUUGUAAACGCAUGAAACUAUGGGGUCCCCGAACGAGACUCGGGGACUGUUGGGGAUAUUACCACUGGGCAUAAACCGGCCAGGAGAGGCCGGGUUAACCCCAUAAGUAGUUCAUCUGUAUCUGAACCCCAUGAAGACAAACGGUGACGCUUUAUGGAGGCCCAGGGCCCAAAGCAGGUUUAAGGCCAUAGACAUAAACCAGCAUUGAUAUGUAAACUUGUACUGUAAGGUAGAAGUAGCAGAGACCGAGCCGGACACGACUAUGAGCCGGCCUCGGGAUUCUGUAAACCGACGGGCGUCAACCCAUGUAUAUAAGGGGACGACCCGGCGACGGUUCAAGGACAACAGACAACAACUCGAGACUCAGGCAAAGCGUAUUCGCUCCCUGGGCAUCGAAACCCCAUCAAUUCCAUCACAACUAGACGUAGGCUUUUACCUUCAUCGUAAGGGGCCGAACUAGUAUAAAACUCUCUUGCGUCCCUUGUCCGCUUUAACCCCUUUAAGCUAAACCGUAGCGAUGGCUCCACGACUAAGUCCUUUCACUAGGACAUCUGCCGUGACAAAACCACGACAGGGACUGCCUUUUGUCGACCAAUUUAUUGUGUCCCUAUUUUCUUGCAUCACUAUACCACUGAACCCGGCCACCGGCCCGACUUGCUCGACCCGGGGGCUCGGGGGCUGGCCGGCUCGGUCGCCACCCCGCCGCCUUACUUGGUGAUUCCUGAUAAAGUUAGGAUGCCACGGUCCCCCACUUCGCCCUAAAGCCAUAGAUCUAGCUUUGGCUGUCGGCUGGCAAGCACAACGGGCCAAAGCUCCUUUACGCUUCAUACACUAAGUCAAAGGCUGCCGGGUCGAUCAACCCGGCCCACCAUUCAUCAAAUGAGCAGCCGCACGACCGGCUGCUCGCCAACCGGCUUCACCGGAUUGCCGCCAGCCGGCCCAGUGGGUGUUUCGCUCGCACUCAACGUUUCGAGGGACCCAAGUCCUGCAUGCUCCUCUCAAAGAACCGAACUCCUUGUCACGGACCGGAGCCUCGGCCGUCUGACUCGCGGGGGGGGGGGAGGUUUGAGAAAGGAAAAGCGCAUGAAAUUGGCCCAAAAACGGAAGGCAAAAAGCAAAAGCACCCACGACAUCUACAAAAGUAUAUAAGAAAAGGCCCACGGCCCGAGUUCAUUACACCCUAAAACCCCCAGUGGGUGGGUGGACCUGCUAUUUAACAGAUUUUACACAAAGUGUCUCAGGCAUCUCCAGUGCCUCGUCGCGACAUCGACCGCUCUCCCCUGGCGGCCUCCGGGUCCAGCAAGGUGCCGAUGUCCUCCUCAGCACCCGCAUCGCGGUAGACGCCCGUCUCCUGCAAGCUCCCCUCCGGAUCAUGGAGGAGCAAGCCGUAGGCGUCACCGUCCACGGCCCUGCCGUCUUCCGUCCGCUCCGGAUGGAACUCGUUGUGGAAGGCGAACUCGGCGAUGUAGCUGGCCCGGGAGGUGAUCCGGCCGGCUUGCUCCUGCAAGAGCUGCUCCGAACCGGCCCGCUGGCCCAUCAACGCGUCCAGCUGCAGGUCCGGAUGCCAGGACAGCGCGAACCAGAGCGCCAUCUCAGCACCGGCACGAGCGGCGCAGACGCGCCACUCGCCAAGCCGGUCCGGCCCCAUCUCCAACCAACGCGCCAAGCGCGAGAAGCUGCUCGGUUGGACAGAGUCCGGCCAUAGGGCCGCCAUCAUUGCGGUGCCAGCCUGGGACAGCCGCCCCAACUGCGUUCCUAGGACCUGCAGGCGGGCCUCAGCGGCGGCAAUGAUAUCCGGGAAGGUCCAGGGCACCCGCGGAUCCGUCCCGGACCCAACGACGCCGGUCGGGUCGCGCUGAUAGCGGACGGCUUCCUCCGCCAGCCGCUGCGUCUCUGGGAAGGCCCCUGCCGCAAAGGAAGAAGCGAGUUAGAAGAAGAACAACAAGGAAGAAAGACCGGAUCCCGACCCGGCAAACGACAAGAAAAAGCACUUACUGGAGAAGGACUCUUCCAGGUGCUGCGCCUCAAGCAACGUACCACGCCGCUCCCGCUCAAUGGCGCGGUCGCGCUCCUCGAGCGCCUUCUCCAGAUCGGCCGCCUUGGCAAGGGCCGCCUUCAGCUCGGCAUCCUUGUCUUCGGCCGCCUCGCGGCGACGGGCCUCGUCCUGACGGGCCCCCUCAGCCGUGGUGACCUGCCCCCGUAGGCGAUCCACCUCGGCCUGGAGGCGGCCCUUGUCGUCGGCCAGCUGGCCGCGGUGCUGGUCCGCCUCCACCAGGGCCUGCUGCGCCUUUGCCACCUUGGCGGCUUCCGCCUUAAGGAGCUCCAUCUCGGCCUUGAGGCGGCUCUUGUGACCCGCCAGCUGCUCAUGCGGCCGGUUGGCCUCGUCGAGAGACCGCCGAGCCGCGGCUGCCUCCGCCCUCGCCUGCGCCACCUCGACGCCAAGACGGCCGGUGUCGGCAAUGAGCCGGUCGUAGUGAUGACCAGCCCGGAGCAGACGAGUCCACCAGGACAGCACCUCGACUGCGAAAAAGGACUCAGCAGAAGAAAAAAGCAAGACUUAAGAUUUGGCCCAACUGUUACACAGUUGGCCCGAAUCUCGGGGGCUACACCCAGUGGGUGCGCUAGCGCGCUCCCACUAGAAAAGAGCACAAGAAUACCUGCGGCGACGCCUCCUUGGCGGCAAGCUGCUCCACGAGCUCCCGGUGCUUGCCUAGGAGACGAUUGUAGGUGGCGACCCGGAAGGCGUCGAGAUGCUGAAGAAAGCAGAAAUCAGAACAAGGCCAACGCUCUAAAGAUUCGACCCAACUACUACGUAGUUGGCCCGAACCUCGGGGGCUACACCCAGUGGGUGCGCUGGCGCGCCCCCACAAAGAAGAAAAUUACAAGAAGACUUACCAGCACGACGCGCUCCAGGUCACGCGUCCGCUCCACCUUGGCCUGGGCGAAGGCCUCGAGCCGUUCCGUCCGGCCUCGCAGGCGGCGACUGACGGCGUCCAGCGCCGCCUCCUCCUGGGUCUGAGGCCCGAAGACAACGGCGCCCCCGCUCCGCGCCGGCUGUGGCACGGCAGCUUGGCGACUUCCCUGCCGGGGCACCAAGGCGUGCUCCCCGCUGGCCGCUCGCGACGCGGCCAGCACCUCCUCCGACGCCCCUCCCAGCGCCGACAACGACCCAGACGCCGGGAUGCCCUGCGUCGCCGUCUCUGACCCAGACGCCGGGACGCCCUGCGUCGCCGUCUCCGGCCCAGCUGCCGGGGUGGCCUCCGGCACCGCCACCCGCGGUGCCUCCUCCAAAACCGGCGGCGCCUCCGACACUGCCGCCCGCAGCGUCUCUUCCAAAAUGACGCCGUCUCCACCACCAUCAGUCCCCGCUCGCUCGACCACGUCGGCCCGCGGCGGGGUGUCAUCCUCCACCUCCACGACCGCCCGGUCGGGGAUCACCACCUCAGCUCGGCCUCCUUGGCCGCGCUCCCUCACCGGCGACGGCUCAAAGACCAUCGCCACCACCACCGUGCCCUCUGGCAUCUCGCGCCAGGCCGGCUCCGCGCAGGCUUGCGCCCAUGCCACUGCCGCGUCGGUCCAAGCACGGACCGACGCCACCUCCAGCUCUGCCUCGGCCCGGUUCCUGUCCCGCCAGGCCAAGGCUUCGGCGUCGUUCGGAUCCAGGCCAAGGUCCAAGUCGGCCCGUCCCUCCACCUCGGCCUGGUCGGCAAGGUCGGACCGGCUCCUGCGGAACGCGACCCCUUCGGCGGUCGCGGCUUCCGCCGCCGCCCUCGCCAGCGCGAUUGGCGACCUGGAGAAGAAGACAGAAUGAGUAGAAAAGAAACAAGACUAGCUCAAGAAAAAAAAUCUGAGCGCAAACAAGAGAUGAAGCUUACCAUGCCAAGACCGGGACCGGGGUUGGCCUCCCGUGCCCGCCGCCGCGCUUCCUCUUGGCGGGCCUCCCGGCCCCGGCCGGGUCCGCCAUGCGCUUCGGGGCCUAGGGUCGCGGCGCGACGCUGUCUUUCCCAUGCGGGCGGCUGGGCGCUGCCCCAUGCGGGGACCCGGCUCCGCCCGCAUCGCUGCCUCCCCCGCCCAACGCCACUACACCGACAACUGGCGUCAGCACCGACUGUUCCGUGCCGUGGUCAGCAAUUCAAGACACAUGAAGAAAAACACGAGACUUACCCGCGCGACGCCCAGCGCCGGUGUCGGACUCGGCCUCCUCCCCCCCGCCAUGAGCCGCGGGCUCCUCUGGCGCCACCGGCUCCACCUGCGACGGGGCCCGGGCGUAAGGAUGCCGAAUCGCGUUCAGAAGUACCCCCCGCGUCGCGUCAGGACGGAUGAGAAUGUGCGCGGUAGCAAAGUAAGAAGACCAGACACUCACCCGCGGUGCGGGGUUCGACUGGCUGUACGGCGCCUUGCCGAACCGCCAGUCCUCCCCAAGGUUGGCCUUGGAGAUGUCAUUCACGCCGUGCGCGACCUGCUCCGCGGACAGCCGCGUCGACCCCAUGCGGUUGGGGUCUUGAAGGCCGACCAUCUCGCCAAUGAGGCAGGAGCGCCCCUGAAGCGGAAGGACCUGGCGCAUGAUGAACGCGGCGAGGAGGUCGGUGCCGGUGAGCCCCUCCUGCGUCCUCAUCACCGUCACCCGCUCGCAGAGAUUAACGAUCUCCUGCGACAGGCGCCUGGGCGAGUAGCCCCAGUUCGUCUUCGCCCGUGGCGGUACGAUGGCGAAGGCCGGAAGGUUGAUGCGAUCUGCACCAAGGUUGCGGACGUAGAAGAAGGAGUUCUGCCACUUCUUGGCAGAAUCCUCCAGCGGGAUCUUGGGGAAAUCCGCCCCUGACCGCUUCGAGAUGACGGCGGCGCCGCAAUCAGCGAACUCCCCGGCCGACGGGCCCUGCUGCUUCAAGGAGAAGAAGCGCGCCCAGAGGUCGAUCGUAGGCUCGACCCCCAGGUACCCCUCGCAGAGGGUGAGGAAGCCGGAGAGCUGGACGAUGGCGCCGGCGCCAAGAUGAUGCGGCUGGAGCCCAAAGAACUCCAGGAACGCGCGGAAGAAGGUGCUCGCCGGCAGCCCGGACCCGCGCUCGAAGUGCGUGAGGAAGACCACGCGCUCCUGCCCCUCGGGCGGAGGCCUCUGCUCGCCGCGCGACAGGCGGACGCCGACAUCCAUCUCCCGCGGCAGGCGCCGCGUCGCCCAGAGUUGGGUGAUGUCCUCGGAGGUGACAUUCGAACCCAUCCAGGAGCCCGAUGGCAGCGACAUGAUCGAAGGAAGAAGAAGGAAGAUGGACGGCGAAGGAGUUCUGCUCGGAGCAGCGGGCGCCGCAGUGCGUCAGUUGCAAAGAGCGGAGCGAGAGCAAAGGGACAGGAGGGCGCGAGCGAGAAUAAUGUCCGCCGCCCCUGCCCCCCGAUUUAUAACCCUCAGUUUGACGUGGGGAAGUGGGGAAGUGGGAUCAUCUGCAUGCGCCCGUUCCACUACCCCGCAAUAAGUGUGCACGUACACGCGCAGUAACUGCCCGGGGAAGAGCAACCGGCCCCCGGGCGCCGCAAUAAAUCCGCGCGCUUGGGCCGAGGGCGCGCAGUGGUGGGCCCCAGCCCGUCGCCCGGUCCCGUCACGCGCGUGGCCUGUCAGGCCCCUCCGACUUCCGGGCACCACGUGGCGCCCGUGCAAAGCCCGAGGGAUUGCCCCAAGAUUCAGCGGACUUCUCGGUCCCCGCCACGGCCGAGAUGCCGCGAUCCGGUUUCCAAGAAAACCGGCACACAGUGGGUGUUGUCGGACCCGGCGCUCGCAGAAUCCACCUUGCUUAAGGGGGAAACUGCGAAGGCCCACUCAUCCGAAGACGACAGACCUUCACAGCUUCGGGGACUAUUGUCGGGGGGAUAGACCCCGGGCAGGCAACGGAACCCGGAUCCUCUUCAAAAACAACGGGGCUGGCACCGCCCCUCAAUAUCGGCACGCGCUUGGCCGGGUCGCUCGACCCGGCCAAGCCCCGCAAGCCGGCCAGACUAGCCGACCUGGCAAGACACGUCGACUCGGCCUCAACAACUGGCGCAAGACAGCCGAACCCGGCAUGGCCAAAGCCUCCUCAACAAGCCAGCGCCACCCAUGGCGUGCUACGCAAUCCAGCCGCGGGUCAACUCCCGUCCCAUCCAGGCCGUAUGAUGGGGACGAGACUUCAAUCAACGAUGACCGAGGCAACAGUGCCCCGCCCAUGCCUCUGGUCAGCAGGAACGUGGCAACAGUGCCCCUCACCUACCCGCUGACCAGGGCCGGCGUGGCUAUAGUGCCCCCGCCCUCACCGCUGAGGACAACAAGCGGCAACCUGACGGAGCACUAUACGCGACUCAACUCGGCCACGCCCUGACGAUCGACAAGAUGGCGCACAGUGCUCCUAGGCUUGCGGGGCCCGCACCUAGGGGAACCCGGUGAACCACAAGCCCUCAGCGGGACCCAGCCCGGGUCCCCGAACACCGACAACACGAACCCACCGACUUAUAACAUUACCAUUGUACCCCCGGGGGGUUGGACUAUAAAACCCCCGGGAGCCCACGAUCAUUCGAGAAGCGAGCAAGAGGACUAGCCACCAAACAGCAACACCGGAGAAAAGGAGCAGCCCAAGCCUUGGCCAGCUUCCUUCCUCCUCCAUACAGCUCCCGGAGCAACAUUGUACUAUCGAUCAUCCAACUAUACUCAGCAGGACUAGGGGUAUUAUCUCUCCGGAGAGCCCCGAACCUGGGUAUGUCCGGCGUCCCGUGCCCGCUCAUGCCAACCUCGCCUCUGGAGUCCACCAGCGCCCUCGAGCCUCCUCCUCUCUUUAGCCAUCCCUUGGCAUCUGCCGUGCGCCCACGACGACAGUUUUGGUAUGAUUUGCAUGGAACUAACAAGGACUAACGUUGUUUUCCGUAGAACUACCGUGGUGUUUUUUUGUGCACAACAAAAGUUCUCCAAAUGCAACGAAACUUUUUGAUGGUUUUUUGGAACAAAAGAGGCACUAGAAGGUUCAUGCGAGGACCAGAAGGUGAAGGAGGUGAGCACAAGACACCUGGGCGCCCUAGGAGGCCCAGGUGCGCCCAGGUGGGUUGUGCCCACCUCGAGGCCCAUCUUCGCAUGAUUCCAAUCCUAAAAAAUCCUAUAUAUAGAGAAACCGCCAGAAAUAACCCUAGAUCAAAAGUUCCGCCGCUGCAAGCCUCUAUAGCCAUGAAAAACCAAUCUAGACCCUGUUCCAGCACCCUGCCGGAGGGGAAAUCAUCACUGGUGGCCGUCUUCAUCAUCCCGGUGGCCUACAUGAUGAGGAGGGAGUAGUCCACCCUCGGGGCUGAGGGUUUGUACCAGUAGCUAUGUGUUUAAUCUCUCUCUCUUUCUCUCGUGUUCUUGAUAUGUCACGAUCUUGAUGUAUCGCGGGCUUUGUUAAUAUAGUUGGAUCAUAUGGUGUUUUCCCCUCUCUAUCUUGUGAUGAAUUGAUUUUUCCCUUUGAGAUUUCAUUUUAUCGGAUUGAAUACUUUUAUGGGUUUGAGAACACUUGAUGUAUGUCUUGCUAUGAAUACCCGUGGUGACAAUGGGGUAUCAUAUUGAUUGACUUGAUAUGUGUUUUGGCACUCAACUCACGAAUUCCCGAGGUGACAUUGGGGGUAAUCUAUGCAUAGGGGUUGAUGCACGUUCUCAUCUUUGUUUCUUCGGUAGAAAUCUUGGGGCACUCUUUGAGGUUCUUUGUGUUGGAUUGAGUAUUAUGAAUCUGAAAUUGUUUGAUGCAUAUCGUAUAAUCAACUAACGGAUACUCGCGGUGACAUUGGAGUAUCUAGGUGACAUUAGAGUUGGUUGAUGUGUAUCGUAUGGUGUUAUUUUAGUACGAACUCUUGGUUAGAUCGAUCGAAAAGAAUAGCUUGGUGUUAUUUUAGUACGAACUCUAGGAUAGGUUGAUCGGAAAGAAUAGCUUUGAGGUGGUUUCAUACCCUACAAACAAUUUCUUCUUAUGUUCUACGCUAGAUAGGAACUUUGGAGUGAUUCUUCAUCGCACGUUGAGGGAUGGUUAUAUGAUCCAAUUAUAUUAGCAUAGUUGAGAGAUUACACUAGCGAAAGCACGGACCCUAGGCCUCAUUUUCAAGCAUUGCAAUAUCGUUUGUGCUCCGUUUUAUCAAUUGCUACCUUGCUGUUUUUAUUGUUCCUAUUACAAAAAUCAAUAUCUACUAUCAUUACUACACUUUUAUCACCAUCUCUUCGCCGAACUAGUGCACCUAUACAAUUUACCAUUGUAUUUGGUGUGUUGGGGACACAAGAGUCUUUUUAUUAUUUGGUUGCAGGGUUGUUUGAGAGAGACCAUCUUCAUCCUACGCCUCCCACGGAUUGAUAAACCUUAGGUCAUACACUUGAGGGACAUUUGCUACUGUCCUACAAAACUAUGCGCUUAGAGGCCCAACACGAGGGUACAAGAACAAGUUUUGUAGUAGACAUCAUCCACCAUGCAGACAAUCGACUUAGCAAGAUGAUGAACUUUCACUGUUUGACGCUAAAUCCUCCAACACUUGCUAUUUCACCAAAAAGUAUGCAUUUGAUUUCUCAGGGCAUUUCUCAGUGAUUCACCUUCUUUUUGGAGCAUAGCUGAAUGAUGGCUUUCAUCUCGGAGUUGAUACUCAAGAAGUCAAACUGAUUCAGGUGGUGAGUUCAUAGCGCUUGUGCGAGCAGCAGUGGCUAGUAUCUCGAACACUACAUCAAGACAUUACUUUGGGGUUGUGUCACUAUCCUCAUGAUAGCUUUCCUUAAUUAUAUGCAUUAUCGGCUUUAUUGUAGACAAAUGGGGUUGUCUCACUAUCUUGAAGCUUAUCUACAUUAUUUGCUUUACCAUUGCAUAAUGGGUUGGUCUUCUCCAAUAUUCUGUCAACAUUCUAAAAGAGGAACAAGUAUACAUAUAACAUAUUUUACAUGUACAUGCAACUCAUUUUGGUAAACAUGAUCAUUAGUAAGGUGGACAGGAUUAUAAUAACAUGUAUUUUAUUGUAAAAUAUUCUCUCUGUUCCUUUAUAUAAGGUGUAUUUAUUUUAUGAUAAAAUUCUAAAAUGUAAGGUGCAUUUCUUCUAAUUCCUCAUAAUUCCCUUAUUAGCCCUCCAGAAAAAGGAAACUAUCUCUUUCCUGAUUGUCUAUAUCUUUCCUUGUAGCAAAAGAAGGAAAGUAUCUCUCUAUGGAUUGCAUGUAUCUCUUACUUUCCUAGACUAACUGAUUUAUUUGCCACAAACCAACAAAUUUGCUAAGGGUAAUUUUGUACUAACUUGUCUAUAAUUAUGUGCCUUGGUCACCAUGCUGAAAAUAAUACACCUUACAUAAAGGAACAGAGGGAGUAUAAUAACAACAUGAAAUGAACAUAUAUCUAUGUACUAUGGUCAUUGUAUUAUCUAUUACUUCCCAUUUUAUGUGAGAGACUAUACAAGGCCUUUCUGUGAGAAAUUAACACUUUCCCACAACCACUUUAUAGCAACGGAGUUUUUCUUGAUGCUCAAAUUAGGUGCAGGUUGACAUCCAUCAACAAAUCUUGCAAUUUUCAAGUUGAAAUUUAGGAUCUUAAAAAGCAAUUUCAACAAAGCAAGACCAGGAGGCAUGUCGGGCCUGUUUCCAUAAUAAAUCACAGAAUAGUCCUAAGUCACACCAGCCCCAAGAUCAAAACAACUGGUGGACUUCCUUGAUAUUUAUAACCAGUACGACAUAAUAUUACAUCGGGUUGAGCCAGGGUGCUCCACUAUUUAUUACAAAUUUGCAAUAUAUGGUGGUGGCGGUAUAUGACAGUGGUUUGAUGGUAGUACAACACCGAUACAAUAAAAUAGAGCCAAGCAUCAGAGUGAGGCUUGACUAUUUUAUUUGGGAAGCGAAAGCACAGCGGAUGAUACAUGUGGUAGACUCCAAGACCACGGUUGACUAACCAGGAACAACUCUAAGCGUCGGGCUCGCUAGCGCAACCUUCCUCCACAAGCUCGUCCUCCUCCAGGACUGGCCAAAUUAACAAGCCAGGGACAAGCCUGUGAGUAUGUUGGAAUGUACUCUCAAACAUUAUGAACAAAAG
rnacentral:lncRNA from 1 species